rnacentral:lncRNA from 1 species
AAUCACAAAAGCAGCAAUAUAACCAAGUUGUUUCUGUGUCUUCGUCCUCGUUUCACCAAACAGCAAGAACCCAUGGAAAAAAGAAAAGGGGGAAGCUUUUGGAAUGACAGAUUUCAAAUCUAAGCACAAUCUCUGUCCGUUCCUUUAAUUUCUCUUUAUCUACAUAGAUUUAUCAUCACAUCACCGAUUACAUAACGAUAGUUAAUUAAUAUUCUCUCUUGCCCUGUAAACAAAUCUUAGAGAAAAUACAAUUAAUUAUCUCUCAAAAACAUUUAAAUGACCAUCGAUUAAUUCAUCAUCACCCAGAACAAACUGGCUCUUCCUUUAUAUUUUCCAACAACGGCUUCCUUAACCUACAUGAAACUAAUCUAUACUUGAACUCUGGCACCGAAAAGUACCCAUCAUGAACACCCUCCAAGGAAAAUGAUGUUUCCAUUAAGAGAACAAAGAGGAAGAAGCAGUUGGAUUAAGAGAACGAAGAGGAAGGAAGAAGCAGCUGGUUAUGUUUGCUGGUUCUGUUUUUUUCACUCUUUACGUUGGCAAAGGAAAAUGAUGUUUGUGUUAUUAAGGGUUCUGCAGCAACGAAGAGGAAAGGAAGAAGCAGCUGGGUGAAGAAAACGAAGAGGAAAAGUUCUGUUUUUUCACUUUAUACAAACCAAAAUAACAUCGUUUCACAGCAAAUUAGAAUGAGAAAAAUAGGUGCCAAAACGACGCCGUUCCAAUUGUUUCGGGGUUUGACCCGGGGCAAACAUCAUUUUCCUAAAAUUAAUUGGUCAUUUUAUUUGGUGAUGAUGAGUUUGUUGUCAGUUUGUGAGUUUGAUGCAGUGAAACGCUUAACGCUUUCUUGUGAUGUGCAGUGUUGUGAAAGACAAUUACUAAUAUUACAAUGAUUAUAAUUUUUAAAUAAAUAUAAAUUUGGUGUAAAUAAAUGUAAAGAAAAAAAUAUAAUAAAUUUUACAUGGUUCGGCAUAAAACUUACGUCCAUGAUUAAAAAUUGAAAAAUAAUUUUAUUAAUAAUGAAAUUUUACAAAAGUGAAAAAACUCUCAAAAAACUAAUACCCAAUUCACCCAAAUUCUCUACUAAAACUCACUUGGAAAUUUCACAAAUUUAGAUGCACUAACAAAUGAGGAAUUGCCUUUUAUUUUAUAGAAAAAAUGGGGUGCACUAUUACACCAACCCCAACAUAAUUGUCAAUAAAACUUAGGCGCCUACCUUAAGAAUUUGUCUUCAAAUUUGUCUUUCCAAUGUGUAUGCAAGUUGGUCAAUUGAUGCUAGGAAUUUGUCUUCAAAUUUGCCUUUCCAAAGUUGAAUGCAUACAUGUGUAUUUGAAUUCCAAUUUUGAAUUUUUCAACACGCAGGAGAGAAGCCAGUGAUGACGAUGAGGACGAAAAACAUUAUUUUGUUAUUUAAAAUAAGACUAUCAAUAUUAUAUUCCAAAAUAAUUGGGUUUGGAUGGUCAUUUUAUUUUUUAAAAUAUCCAAAUAUCUUACAAAAUUAGAGUGCUUGACUUUCUUUAUACUGAGUUAUAAAGUGAAAAAAUUAAAAAAAUUAAAUACUCUUCAUGCAGUGGGAAGAAUUGGGUUGCCGUUAUGUUAAAUAAAAGAAAAAUGAAUUAAACGUACAACACUUCAAUAAUCUCAUUCCCAAUCAUAUCAGAAACAAAGUUUUCUGUAUAUUUAUGAAAUAACUAUUGAUUUUACUUUGGUAAUUGUUUUUUUCAAAUACGGUAAAUAUCUUCAUUUUCUUUGCAUACGAGCUUUCAUUCUUUUACUCUGGCAUUUACUCUUGACCGUAUCUCGUGGUCAAAUUCAAUUAAUCUCAAUCUUCUCAAGUUUGUGGCUGUUUUACUAGUUACGAACUUUUGUAGGAUGCAUGUAGAUGAAACUUUUUUAUACAUUUUUUCUUUUCUAUUUUUUUUUUUUCUUCGGUGAACAAAUUAAAAAUUUAGUUUUUGUCAUCAUCACACAACACUGACAUGAAAAAUGUUGUACCAAUCAAUGAGCCACUAAUUUCGUCUUCUUAAAAGAGAAUUAUUGCGGCUAGGCAAUUGGAAACUCGAAGAUUUCCGUAUUACCCAAACCUAAGUAGUAAGAAUUUUCAUAUGAAAAAUAAUUUGGAGGAAAAAUAAAACGAUUCAAAUUAAAGAUCAGUAAUUUGUGCUCCUGACAAAACCAAUAAUUCAAUCCACACAAUUUUUCUUGUUUUACUUCAUGGCACUUGUAAAUCUUUGAAUUAUCAAAUUAAUGGCAAAACACUUCAACAUCUGUUGUCUCAUAGAGUGAAAUAAUCUUCAGUCUUUGACAUAUCCCUGGGGCAAUGUAUACUGACUUUACAUUAAAAUAAAAUAAAACAAACAUUGUCAUGUAGUUAAGGAAACUUAAUUUUGACAAGUGCAAGAGAGGGUGGAAUUCAUUUGAAGCAAGAAAAUCAGUCAGUCCCAUUUUCUAUUUUGCAAUUGUUGAAGUAAUUCUAAAUUCGUUAGGAUCACAAGGAUAGGCUUCUGUUGACUGAGGUUUGGCUUAACGCAUGCGGGUCUUUUUCUUCUCUAUUUCUUAGAAAUUUUGGUUUCAUUAUAAAUACGUGGUAUAUAGCAAUCUUAUGAGUGUUCUUGCAUUACCAAUCCAAUUAAGCUUACACUUACAACCUAAAUACUCUCAUCUCAUGGAAAGAGUUCAUUCUCUCAGUAUGAUAAGCAGAUUUCUCUUACUCCACUGUUUGGUUCUUAUUUUCUUAUUUAUCGCUGCUGCAACAGCGAACACAAGUACUAUUACCACAGACCAAGAUGCUCUGUUGGCCCUGAAAGCUCACAUAUCUCAUGAUCCGACCAAUUUCUUGGCCAAGAAUUGGAAUAAAAGUACUCCUAUCUGUAAUUGGACAGGCGUCACUUGUGAUGUCCAUAGCCAUAGAGUCACAGUCUUGAAUAUUUCAAGCUUAAAUCUCACAGGCACCGUCCCUGCUCAACUUGGGAAUCUUUCUUCUCUGCAAUCACUCGAUCUCAGUUUUAAUCGACUUUCUGGUUUCAUUCCCUCCACCAUCUUCACCAUGUAUACACUAAAACGUGUUAGUUUCCGUGAAAAUCAGCUCUCCGGCACCUUCCCUUCUUUCAUCUUCAACAAGUCUUCUUUACAACAUCUUGAUUUUAGUCACAACACACUGUCUGGUGAAAUUCCUGCAAAUAUUUGCAGUAAUCUUCCUUUUCUGGAAUACAUUUCUUUGUCCCAAAACAUGUUCCAUGGCAGAAUACCGCCCACUCUAUCAAACUGCACAUACUUAAGAAUCUUAGGUUUGUCACUUAAUAAUUUCUCGGGGGCCAUACCUAAAGAAAUCAGUUAUUUGACCAAACUUAAGGAACUAUAUCUUGGCGUUAAUAGACUCCAAGGUGCGUAUGAUCACGGAGUUCAUGAAAAUUGUUCCAUAAGUUGUAAUAUAAAAAUUUUCCAUAAAUCACUUUAUACAUGUUGAUUAAUUUGCAGGAGAAAUUCCCAGAGAGGUUGGCAAUCUUGCUGAAUUGGAGCUAAUGUCGUUACCAGAAAACAAACUCCAAGGUAUGAUUAUAAACUUUUUGCAUUUUUAUUCUUGCUCUGGUUGUGAUGAAACAGAAACGUGAUAGAAGAAACUAGAUUUCUGAAUAUUGAUAAUUUCAUUGAAAAGUCUGAAUGAAUGAAACUAGGGUUUUGAGCCCCUUUUAUAACAAGCCUAAAUAUCGCAAAUUUAUCAAAAGAGGCAAAUCUGAAAUAUUAUUUGAUAAUAAAAUUCUCCUAUCCGAAAUUAGAAAGGAACAAAAAACGGAAUCUAAAUCUGAGUUCUAAGAAAAAAAAAGAUAAAAAUCCUAGAAGAAUCAGGAAAAAUAGGAAAAAAUCUUAAAACCUAAAAACGACUAGGAAAUAAAUGGAAUUUUCAGCUCGACCACAGACCAAAACCUCUUAAGCGUUUUGCGUUUUGCGUUUUGUUCAUCUCGUUGCAAGCUUUUAAACAAUAUAUUAUACGUCCAAAACAUACACUUGUAUCUCAAGUUAUGGCCUUUGGAAAGUACCUUACUCGAGACACACAGCACCUACAUCAGUCCCCCGCACUUGAAAAAGAACUCGUUCUCGAGUUUGGCUCGUACAACUCUUCAUUAUCUGGACGAUAUUUGAAUAGAUCAGCCACAUUGAAAGUGUGAGAGAUAUUUCAAUUGCUCGGCAGCUGAAACACAUAAGCAUUAUCAUUAAUCUUUCUAGCCGCGCAAAACGAACCAUACUUGUACUUCUCCAAUAUAGUGCGAAUGCUAGGAAAACGAUUGCGCCGAAUGUAUGCCAUCACUAAAUCACCUUCCUGAAACACAUUCCUGCAUCAAUGCUUGUCUGCUUCAGCUAUAUACUUGGCAUUGGUAGCCUCCAAGUGAGCUCGUACCUUGAUAUUAUUUGCGCUGUGCUUUCUCCAAUGCCAAAUACUAUUGGCUUAAUAGCUAAAUCACAAACAUGGUGUGGGGAACAAGUGUAGAAAAUCUCAAAAAGGGUAUUGCCAGUACAUUGAUUGACCAUGCUAUAGUAUGCAAACUCAACUUGAGGUGAUGCAACUUCCCAGUUCCGUUGCCUAUCACCAUAAACACAGUGCAACAUGUUGCCCAAAGUGUGAUUGACCACUUCCGUUUGCCCAUCUGCUGUGGAUGGGCAGAUUAAACUCCAACUAUGUGCCAAACUCAUCCCAGAGAUGACGCCAAAGCUUGCUGAUGAAUUUUACAUUCCUAUCAGAAGCAACAUCUUAAGUCUUCUUACAUGCAAUAAAAUGUGCCAUCUUUAAAAAUCUAUCCACCAUAACAAUAUAGAAUCUUGACCCGUCCUUGUCUAUGGCAAUCUUAACACAAAAUUCAUGGAGAAAUCCAAGUAAAUGUUUUCUGGAACAUGUAGUGGCAUGUAUAACCCUGUGUUCUGCACCUGCCCCUACCCUCUUUGCAAGCUUGACACCUCAGCACAAUUUUAGAUACAUUCCUAUUCAACUGUGGCCAAUAACAACGCUCUUCCACAGGUGCUCUAGUCUUGGCUAAGCCCAUAUGUCCUCUCAAUCCUCCUCCAUACAACUCACGGAUAAUCUGUCCUCGUAAAGAACUCAGAGGCACACAUAAUUCGUUGACCUUGAAUAAAUAUCUAUCCUAAAUAUGGAAAUCUUCCGCAUACUGAUGAUUGACACAACGAUCCCAAAUAUACGUUAAGUCUUUAUCCUGAACGUACAAUUCCUUCAAACACUCAAAACCAAUAACUUCAUUAACUAAAGUUACUAGUAAAGUUGCUCGCCUACUUAGAGCGUCUGUUAUUUUAUUUUGCUGCCCAGACUUGUGCUUCAAAGCAAAAGUGGACUUCUGCAUAUAACUCACCUAUCUGGCAUGCAUAUUGCUGAAAUUUUGUUGGCUGUUAAAGUACUUCAGUGCUUGAUGGUCACUGUAAAGCAUGAACUCCUUUUGAAUCAAAUAAUGCUCCCAAAACGCCCUAAAGAUGACAUACAACUCUUGGUCAUAAGUGGACCACUUCUGCCUUGCUUCAUUCAACUUCUCGCUCAUGUACUCAAUUAAUCACCUUCUUUAGAAAGAACAACACCAAUUCCUUUUUUAGAAGCAUCGUACUCAACCUCGAACAGUUUGCCAAAGUUUGAAAAAGCUAAUAGACAACUUUUCCUUUAAUAAAGUAAAGCUUGCUUCCUAUUCGUCUCCCCAUUUGUACUUCCCUUUCUUCAAACGCUCUGUGAUAGGUGCGGCUAUAAUGCUAAAAACUUUGAACCUCACUCACUGUCUUGGGCAUAGGCUAUUCUCUAAUGGCUUGUAUCUUUGACUUAAUAGCUAGAAUCUCAUCCGCACCAACUAUGAAACCCAAACAUUCUACAUUACUUUAUAGAAAGUUAACACUUCUUUAGAUUAAUGUAUAACUUAUUUUUCUAUAACACAUCCACAACUCUCUUCAAAUGCUUCAAAAUGCAUCACCACAUCAACAAAAUAUACCACAAUAAAUUUACAUGAGGAAGGCUUGAGAACCUGGUUCAUUAAACGCAUGAAAGUACUUGGUGCAUUGGAUAACCCAAAUGGCAUCGCAGACUACUCAUACACCCUUUUUCCUUUUAAACACUGUCCUUUACUUAUCUUCAGAUCUGAUUCAAAUCUAGUGAUACCGAUUGCACAAGUCUAUCAUUGAGAAAACUCGAGCACCAUCCAAUUGGUCUAGCAAAUCUUGAAAUGUUGGAAUAAGGAAACAAUAUUUCUCCAUAAUCUAAUUAAUCUGCUUGCUGUCCUCACGUAUACGCCAACUUCGAUCCUUCUUAAGAACCAACAAUGUUAGUAAGCAUAUGGACUCAUGCUUUCACAAAUGAAUCCCUUCCACAAUAACUCAUCAACAUGUCCUUAUAAAGUCGCAUGCUCACGAGGACUCAUGUGAUAAUGGGGUAAGUUAGGUAAACUUGCACCAGGUACUAGGUCUAUAUGACGCUCAACAUCUCGCAAAGGUGGCAACCCAUCCGGCAUCUCUGAUGGUGUAAUGUCAGCGAACUCAACCAAUAAUGGCUGUACCUUCUUAGGAAUAGUCUUCACCUCGAAUUCGUCCUCUUGCUAUAACUUCUUACAACUAUCACAGUCAUCCUUUAAAUGGCCUUUGACAUUAGCCAGAAACUAAUACACAUUAUCCCUUCCCAUAUGGACUGCAUCCACAUCAAACUGCAAAAGCCUACCCAAUAACAAAUGGCACGCAUCUAUAUCUAUGACAUCAUAGACUACAUUACUCUUAUAAGCCUUCUUAAUGGAGAAAGAAACAUAGCACACCUUCGUUACUCACGUUUCUGUCCCUUUCUUUAUUCACUCUAUUCGGUAAGAUGUUGGAUGUUUCUCCGUCAAGAGCCCCAUCACAAUGAUCAGCGCCUUUGAUACUAUAUUCUUGCUAUUGCCGCUAUCAAUUAUCAUGUUGCAUACCUUGUCAUUGAUAGUGCCACGUGUUAUGAAAAUUUUAUUGUGCUGAUUAUCCUUUUCAAACUUUGGCACCAACAAAAUGUUUUGCACAUUGCAAUUUAGCUCUCUCCUUCAUCCGCCUCUAACUCCAAAGAUUCUUUAUCAUCCCUGUCAUCAAUAUCAUUCACCUUUGCCUCGCCAACUUCAUCCUCUGCCAAAUUUAAAUUUUUUAGAUGACAGUCACUCGAUACUUCAAACACUUAGUCAAUAUAGGCUUUGCAUACGAAUUAUUUUGUUGUUUAGGUGGCUGCUCCUGCCUUCACUACUGCUAUGCUGGUUGUUGCAUUUGCUACUGGCCCACGUUUUCUACUUGUUUUCAACCUUGGCAUUGCUUGGUUUAUUCUGCACUCUAGUGAAUUGUCGCUAAUGGGUUCUAAAAGCAACACGUUGCUUCCAUUCUUCUAACUUCUUUGUCCUAGUAACCACUAUACCCAUGUCCUAAAUCGCAUCUACAAUCUCAUCUUGAGCUCUUGUUUUAAUCCUUUAAGAUACUUCCUAAUUGUCCGAAACUGUGGCUCAUCCAUGUUAUUCCUUAUGUGCAAACGAUAAAAUUCUUUCAUGUACUCAUCGACACUACGAUUUCCUUGCCUGCAAUUCUAGUAUUUUACGCAUAAUUGCUGCUGAUAAUCUGCUGGCAGGAAAUACUUUUUCAUUAUCCUCUGCAUUCUAGGCCAUGAUUUAUUUAAUGGCUUUGUCUAAUAGCCUCCGCAGACAGUGGUCGUGUGGUCGUACCAUGAUGACAAGCGAACUUGUUUUGAUAACAAUUGAAGAAACAGAAAUAUAAAGCGUUUCAUGAUAGAAGAAACUAGGUUUUAAUAUCAGUUGUUUAUUAAAAUUUAUUGUUUGUUUGUUUAAAUCUUUUAAGGGUGUUGUUCCAAAAGCAUGAAAUAUCAAGGGAAAAACAACUACUAAAAAUUAAAAUUAAAAGUUUAAGAAUUUGGGAUAAAAAGGUGAUGGGUAAAAGUCUAGAAAUCAAGAAAAAAGAAUGAAGAAACAAAAAAAAUGUUGGCCAAUGAAAAUGAUUAGAGAGAUUAUGAUAAUUUAACUUAAUAAGGGUAUUUAAAGUAUUAACAUGGGUUUCUAAAGCAAGAUUGUAUAUUUUAAAUUUUAGGCGUGUGUUUAUUAAGCAAAUGAGUUAAUUGAAAAGUGUGAAUGAAUGAAACUAAUGUUUUGAGUUCCUUUUAUAACAAUCCUAAAUAUCGUGAAUUUAACAAAAGAGGCAAAUCCAAAAUAUUAUUUGAUAAUAAAAUUGUCUAUCUGAAAUAAGAAAGGCAAAAAAAAUGGAAUCCAAAUAUGAAUUCUAGGAAAAAAAAGAUGAGAAUCCCAGAAGAAUCAGGAAAAAUAGGAAAAAAUCUUAAAACCUAAAAAUGACCAGGAAAUAAAUGAAAUUUUCGGCUUGUCCAUGGGCUAGAAAGGCUUAGACAUUUUAGGUUUUGUUCGUCUCAUCGCAAGCUUUAAAAAGAUAUAUUAUACGCCCAAAAUAGACAUUUGUACCUCAAGUUAUGGCCUCCAGAAAGUACUCUACUCGUGACCGCUACGCCCUAAUAGACUUGCUUCUGUAUUCAUUUGCUUGUUCUUUAAUUAUGCUAUGGUUAAUUUUUUUCUUUGACAUAGAAAUAAAUCUUUGUCUCUCCUCACUCAUUUCAUUUUUUAAUUUAUGCUGAUAAAAUAAAAUGUUUUGUAAAUUUUCUUUCUUCAUAUUGGCACUUCCAUCUUGAAGCUCCUAAUUUAGUUGAUGAAAAUGAAUGAUGUUUCAUUCUUAGUCCUGUCAGCCUAAUUCUUAUAUUGUUGAAGAGUUAACUGUUAUUAUGACAUUCUUCAGGCAAUAAUUUUUAUUUUUUUUUGAGAUAUGAAUAAUCAAAUUGUUUGCGCAUAUAUGUACGUUCUUAAUCUGCAGGAGAAAUUCCACAGGAGUUGGGAAAUCUUGUAGGAUUGGAGUUCUUAUUUCUUUCUGAUAAUUUUUUAACCGGUAUUAUUCUUUCUUCUAUCUACAAAUUGCUUUUCUCUACUGAAUUUGGAAUUCUCAUUUAAUAACGUAAUAGGUAGCUUCCCUUACGACCUAUAUAUGUGACCUGUUUUCUUCUUAAUUAAAAGAUUUCACGUCUCUCAUUAUAAAUUCUCAUAUGGGGAUGUAUCGUUACCACUAUCUAACACUAACUAGUUUUUUUUUUUCAGAAAUUAAUCUGUUUGUAUGCAAAAUUUUCUAGCAUUUAAAAAAAAAAUUAAAACACGUGGAAUGAAUCUUCAAUCUUUCUUCUAAAUUGAUUUUGGAUUUCUCAAAAAUUAUCUUGACAGGUAUGUUCCAUUAAUGAUAUGCAUGUGUGACAACCUCAUAAAAUAUUUUACAUGGAAUCACUAAUUAUUUUUAAAUAAUUGGAGAUGCCAUCACUAAUAAAUAAUUUCUUAACAAGCACCAUUCUAAAAGAAAUCAACAAUUUUACUAGUUUUAAAGGGUUACAUCUUCACUGCAAUUAUGACAUAAUUUUUUAUCUAACUAAAUUUUUAGUCAUCAAUCGCAUAAUAUUUUGUCUCAACAGAUGAUGUUCAAUCUUACAAUUUAUAAUAUCUCAAAAGUUAGUAGCUAUGAAAAUAAGAAGUCAUUUAUUUGCUAAAAAGUUAAUUUAGUAUUUAAGCAUUUCAAUUGAGAAUUUUGAAAUAAGUGUUGAGAACUGGUCCUCGUUAGUAUUUCAGAGGAUAAAUAUGAAAAAUAGGCUAGAAAAAAUUAUUUCACUGAAAUAAUAGUUAAAAAGAGAGGAGAAGUACAGUACUCAUGACUUAGGUUUGUUGUGUAAUUGUUUUAGCUUCUGCUUCGGGCUUGAUUAUACAGUCGAAAAUUUGCACUUACACCUGCUACAAUAAUAACAUCCCACGACUUAGGCUUUUACUUUUCACCAACAUUUGAUAAUUUCUUAACCUUCCCAUUUAGGUUGUAGCAAUUUGUUUAUAAAUAAUUAAAGCAUAUUAAAGCUAGCAUUGAUGUACGGAUGAGUGGUGACCAAAUUGUUUGCGCAUAUGUAAUUUGCAGGAGAAAUUCCGCAGGAGUUGGGAAAUCUUGUAGGAUUGGUGUCCUUAUAUCUGUCUGAUAAUUUUUUAACUGGUAUCAUUCUUUCAUCUAUCUACUAAUUGCUUUUCUCCAUUAAAUUUGGAAUUUCAUUUAAUAACUUGAUGGGUAACUUCCCUUGCGACAUAUAUGUGACAUGUUUUGCUUCUUAGUUAAAAUAUUUCACGUCUCUCAUUAUAAAUUCUCAUGUGGGGAUGUAUCGUUACCGCUAUCUAACACUAUCUAAAUUUUUAUUAGAAAGUAAUCUGUGUGUGUGCAAAAUUUUGUAUCUUGAUAGAUAUGCUCCACUAAUGAUAUGCAUGUGUGACGACUUCAUUAAGUAUUUUACAUGGAAUCACUAAUUAUCUUUAAAUAAUUGGAGAUGCCAUCACUAAUAAAUAGUUUCUUAACAGGCACCAUACCAAAAGAAAUCAGCAAUUUUACUAAUCUUCAAGAUUUAGGUCUUGACAGCAAUAGACUUCAAGGUAUGUGUCAUGACAGAAUUUUUUAUUUAAAUAAAUGUUUUUGUCAUCAAUCGUGUGAUAUUUUACCUUAAAGAAUGAUGUUCAAUCUUAGAAUUUAGAAUAUCUUGAAGGUUAGUGGAUAGAAAAAUUAGAAAUAGUUUAUUUGCUGAAAAUUUAUGUUAUUGUUUGAGCAUUUCAAAUGAAAAAUCUGAAAUAGAUGUUGAGAACUGGCCCUCGUUAGUAUUGUAGCGGAUAAAUAUGAGAAAUAGGCUAGAAGAAAUUAUUUUGCUGAAAUAAUAGUUAAAAAAAAAGACGAGAAGUAUAGUUCACAUGACUUUAAGCUUGCUGUUAAUUGUUUUAGCUUUGGCUUCGGGAUUGAUUACACUUACACCGUCGAAUAUUUGCACUUACACCUGUUACAAUAAGUUCUUAACCUAGGCUUUUACUUUUUCACCACACAUUUGAUAAUUUCUUAACCUUUCCUAUUAGAUUAUAGCAAUUUGUUUAUGAAUAACUAAAGCAUACUAAAGCUAGCAUUGAUGUACGGAUGAGGGGUGACAAAAGUGUAUAUGUUUUUAUGUAAUCUAAAUAUAAUUCUUUCAAAAUAUAGGUGAGAGAUCACAUGAGAUUGGUAAUCUUUAACCGUGAUAAGAAUUCAAAUAUGUUCAUUGUAAUAGACAAAAAAUUUAGUUCCAAAAUACAUUCUUAUGGUCAUAUCAGUUUUACAUUAAUAAUUUAAAUUAACAUGAAAAUAUGUUGUUUUUUUCACUAUGUUAUUAUAUUAAACAAUGAUGUGAAUAUAGAAAUUAAUAAUAUUUAUAGUUACUUAAUAAAAAUAUAAAUUUAAUACUUUGUUAACAUUUAUCUAUGUAUGCUAAUUAAACUUAAACUGGUAUUUAAACAAUUUUGGUUACGUGUAUUCAUUCCAUGAUAUAGAAGUAUAUAUUUAUACUAAUUUACCACUAUCAAUGAAAUGUUUUGAGACAAAUUAUUUAAUUUAUAUUAGUAUACUUAAAAUACUCGCAUUUAUUAUAUUUUGAAAAAAAUAUUUGCAUUUAUUAUAAACCUUUGGAUUCUAAUUUUCUUAGUUACAAAAGUCAAAGGGUUUAGUCGAAAUGAGUUUGUGUGAUCAUUUUCAAAUCUAGGGAGUCUACGUAUACAAUUAAACAACUAGAUGUUAUCUUCCCUAAAUUAAGGCAUAUGUUAAUUUGUAGGAGAAAUGCCGCAGGAGAUUGGAAAUCUUACAAAAUUGGAGAUUUUAUUGCUAAGGGAUAAUUUCUUUACAGGCAGGCUUCACUAAUGAUAUACAAGUGACAACUUCAUAAAAUAUUUUACAUAGAGUCAAUAUUUUUUUUUAAAUAAUUAGCGAUGUCAUCACUAAUAAAUAAUUUCUUAACAAGCACAUACCAAAAAAAUUGGUAAUUUUACUAAUUCUAAAGAGUUACAUCUUCACUACAAUAGACUUCAAGGUAUGUAUCAUGGCAUAAUUUUUUAUCUAAAUCAAUUUUUAAUCAUCAUUUAGUGAUGUUUUACCUUAACCAAUGAUGCUCAUUAAUAAAAUAUCGUAAAGAUUAGUAAAUUUAUUGUUUAGCAUUUCACUUCAAAAACUUGAACUAAAUUUUGAUAACCUCGAAUCUACAUGUUAGUAGGGAGAAAUUUGAAAAGAAACGAUUUUACUGAAUUAAUGCUGCGUUUACUUUUUGGAUUGGAUUGGGAAUCCUGAGGAGUGGGAAUCCUUGGAUUAGGAGUGUGGAGUGGGAGUGGGAGUAGGGUGUUUACUUAGACUAAAUGAAAGUAUGGAUUGUCAAUCAGAAUCUUAAUUAUUUGUUUACUUUGUCUUGGAUUGGGAGUAAAUUGUUUUAAAUUACAAUUUUAUCCUUAUGUACAGAAUUAUAAUUUGUAAUUAAAAAAUUAAUAAAAAAUAUAUUUGGAAAAUAAAAUAAAUAUUUUAUUAUAUUUAUAAAUUAAUAAUAAUUACUAAUAUUCUUAAUUAUGUAAAUCAUAAUUUUUUAUUAAUUUUAAUUUAAAUUAUGUGAAUAAAAAUUAUUAAUAAUAGCAACACAAAUGAAAUAUUAUUAUUGAUAAUAUAGUACAAAAUUAAUAUUUUUUUAGAAUAAAAUAUUUAUUAUUAUUAAAUAAAUAAAUAAUUAAUAUUUAUUAAAAUUAAUGUUUAAUAUUAUUAAUUUAAAUAUAAUAUUUAUUUAUUUUUAUUUUAUUAAAUUUAAUAAAAUAAAUAUGAUAUUAUUUAUUUUAUUAAAUACAAUAUUUUUUAUUUUAUUAAAUAUUAUUUAUUUAUUUAUUUUUAUAGGAUAAAAUGGGAAGAGGGGGAGUGAAUUCCCACUCCCACCUCCCCCCAUGGGAGUGGGAAUCCCACUCCCCACUCCAAAAUUGAGUGGGACCCACGGAUUUCCACUCCCACUCCCCCCUUUUUUAAGGUAAGUAAACACUGGAGUGGGAGGAAUCCACACUCCACACUCCCACUCCAGAAAGUAAACACAACCUAAUUUAUUUCAUGUUGCUGUAACUGAAAUGCUGAUUUUUUUUUUUCACUUAUUGAUGUUUCACCAACUUAACGAAUGAUGCUCAUUCAUAAAACAUCGUGAAGAUUAGUAGGAAAUUUUAAAAUUGUUGAUUUGCUAAUAAAUAAAUUUAGUGUUUAGUAUUUUAAUUGGAAAACUUGAACUAAAUGUUGAUAAUCUCGAAUCCACAUGUUCGUAAGGAGAAAUUUGGAAAGAAAUUAUUUUACUGAAUUUAUUUAUUUUAUCAUGCUGCAAUCGAAAUACUGCUGGGCUUUUUUUUUUUUUGGUGGGCUCUCACUGAGGCUUGGUUUACUUUGAUAGUUGCAGCCACCGACUUAGAAUUUUACGUUUCACCACCCAAUUUGAUCUUUUCUUUAAACCACAUAAGUAUUGGUCAAAUAUAUUCUAUUACAUUUCUCUCUUAAUUUCUCCAAUUGUGCAUUAUUAAUACUUAAUUCUCCCUAUCAAUUUUCCAUAAAAUCCAUCUACCACUUAAAUCACAUAUAUAUUUUACUUAUAUUUUACCAAAAAAUAUAAAAAUAAAAGAAAAAGAAUACGUGUAGCAAUUUGUAUAUAAAUAAUAAAGCAUUGCCGGUGUGUAGCCUUUCAAUUUUUCAUGGGCGUUUUCCUUGUUUGUUAGUACUUGUAAUAAUUGUACAGCAUAUAAAUGACUAUUUAUUAUAUAUGUGUGUCCGUUUAUAUGUAUUAUUUAUUAUUUGAAAAUAAUCUGAAUAUAAUUCUUUCAAAAUACAGGGGAGAUACCACCUGAAAUCGGUAAUCUCCGUAGUCUGGAAUGGUUGCUGCUUGGUUACAACAAAUUAGUUGGUACUAUCCCAGCUGCAAUCUUCAAUGUGUCAACACUCAAACAACUUGACCUUCAAAAUAAUUCUCUAUCGGGAAGUCUUUCGUCUAUCGCAGAUGUCCGACUUCCAAAUCUUGAAAUGCUUUAUAUGUGGGGUAAUAAUUUCAGUGGCACAAUUCCUCGUUUCAUAUUUAAUGCUUCUAAGCUCUCUAUACUAUCAUUGGAAAAGAACUCAUUCUCUGGUUUUAUUCCCAACACAUUUGGCAACCUAAGAAACCUUGAGCAGUUGGAUUUAUCUGAUAAUUAUUUGACUUCUUCAACUCCAGAAUUGAGCUUUCUAUCCUCGUUGUCAAAUUGCAAGUCUCUAACACAUAUCCGCUUAUCAGAUAAUCCACUAAAUGGGAUUCUUCCAAGGACAACUGUCGGUAAUCUUUCUCAUUCUUUGGAACUCUUUGACAUGUCCUAUUGUAACAUUAGUGGCAGCAUACCUAAAGAGAUCAGCAACUUGACCAACUUGACAACCAUUUAUUUAGUGGGCAAUAAAUUGAAUGGAUUAAUUCCAAUUACUCUUGGAAAAUUACAAAAGCUUCAAAGCCUGGUUCUUGAAGAUAACAAAUUAAAAGGAUCGAUCCCAGACGAUAUUUGCCGUUUGGCUGAAUUGUAUGAGUUAAACUUGGGCGGCAAUAAGCUUUCUGGAUCAAUCCCUGCAUGCUUUAGUAAUCUGGCUUCUCUGAGGACACUGUCAUUGAGUUCCAAUGAGUUAACUUCUAUUCCAUUAACUCUCUGGAACCUUAAGGACAUAUUGUACCUCAACUUUUCAUCAAAUUUUUUGAGUGGUCCACUCCCGUUAGAGAUUGAAAAUUUGAAGGUUUUGGUAGGAAUUGAUUUUUCGAUGAACAAUUUUUCAAGUGUUAUUCCAACUACAAUUGGAAGCCUAAAAGAUCUACAAUAUCUCCUUUUAGCAUAUAACAAAUUGCAAGGAUCGAUUCCUGAUUCAGUUGGUGAUUUGAUAAGUUUGAAAUCUUUGAACUUGUCUAAUAAUAAUCUCUCUGGGGCUAUUCCUGUAUCUUUAGAGAAAGUUUCAUAUCUCGAAAAUCUAGAUCUCUCUUUCAACAAGCUAGAAGGAGAAAUUCCUAAGGGAGGAUCUUUUGGAAACUUCUCAGCUGAAUCAUUUGAGGGAAAUGAAUUAUUAUGUGGUUCGCCCAAUUUACAAGUCCCACCAUGCAAAAUUAGCAUCCACCACGCAUCACGGAAAAAUGCUCUUCUCCUAGGGACUGCCUUGCCAUUGAGUACUAUAUUUAUGAUAGUAGUCAUUUUGUUGAUCCUAAAAUGUCGAAAGAGAAGAAAACGACCAUCGGAUGAUGCUAAUAUACCACCAGUACCAACGUUGAGAAGGUUUUCAUACUUAGAACUUUAUCAAGCAACAAAUGGAUUCGGUGAAAACAAUCUAAUCGGUAGAGGAGGUUUUGGCUCCGUUUACAAAGCAAGAAUUCAAGACGGGAUAGAGGUUGCAGUGAAGGUUUUCAACCUGCAAUGUGGAAGAGCAUUUAAGAGUUUUGAUGUUGAAUGUCAAGUGAUGAAAAGUAUUCGCCAUCGAAACCUUAUCAAAGUUAUCAGCAGUUGCUCAAAUGAAGAGUUUAAAGCAUUGGUAUUAGAAUACAUGCCUCAUGGAAGUUUGGAGAAGUAUUUGUAUUCAAGUAACUGCAUUUUGGAUAUUUUUCAAAGAUUGAACAUAAUGAUAGAUGUUGCAUCAGCUUUGGAAUAUCUACACUUUGGUUAUUCAACUCCAGUAAUUCACUGUGACUUAAAGCCCAACAAUGUAUUGUUAGACAACAAUAUGGUUGCUCAUUUGAGUGAUUUUGGCAUUGCAAAACUCUUAACUGGAGAAGAUCAAUUUGUGACUCAAACACAAACACUUGCCACAAUAGGCUAUAUGGCACCAGGUUUGUUCAAUAUAAAUAUUUUAUGUUUCUUUUAAACUUCCUAAUAAGUUAUUUAUGUUUCGUGAUCUUUUUUGGAUGAGGAAAAUAUUAUUAAUGAUUUAUCUUACGAUGCAUGUGUCGCAAUUUAUAGAAUAUGGAAGAGAAGGACGAGUAUCUACAAAUGGAGAUGUUUAUAGCUUUGGGAUUAUGUUAAUGGAAACUUUUACUGGGAAGAAACCCACAGACAAAAUUUUUAAUGGAGAAAUGACAUUAAAGCGUUGGAUUUGUGAUUGGAUACCCAUUUCAAUUAUGGAAGUUGUUGAUGCAAAUUUGCUAAGUCGGGAGGACAUACAUUUUGUUGCAAAAGAGCAAUGUUUGUCAUUUGUCUUCAAUUUGGCUAUGGACUGCACGGUAGAAUGCCCUGAGCAGAGAAUCAAUGCAAAAGAAAUUGUGACAAGGCUUUUAAAAAUUAGAUACUCGUUACUUAGAAAUGUUGAAGGCAGAUGUAUAAGACAAUCAAAUUUAAAUUGAUUAUGUCACUCCUUCAUUGAUAACUAUCAUUUCCAGAGACUUGGAUGGUUAUCUUUCAUACAGGUUUUGUUGAUAUGUUUUGUUAUUGCUAUUGCUCUUGUUUAUUUCUCUGUUUUGUUAUUGUUGUUGCUCUUGUUUAUUUCUCUUUCUCUUGUAAUUAGCAUGCAUGCAUUUUUUGUUCUCUUCCAUAUUUGUGUUGGUUUGUACCUAGUUUAUUUUCUAGGAAUAAGGUUCAUUACACCCACCCCUAUUUUGAUGUACCCUUUUUAUUUUUAUUCAAUAAAGCUUCCCCAGUACCAUCGAGAUUCACUGAAAGAAAAUUCCAAAUUGAUUUUCUUUUCUCUGUCUGGUAAUGAAAAUUAUAAUCAUUAUAGUGAAUAACUUCAAUAAUAGAGUGUAAGAGUAUUAGUUGUUAUGGCUGUACGUAUGACUUCAAUAAUAGAGUGCAAGAGUAUUAGUACUUAUGACUGUUUCCUGAACCUGGAGUCUGAGUAAUUUAACAGCAACAAGUCUCUUGUAUUACAUGCAAAAUUCUUUUUAUUAAUCUUAUUUUAGUUUGUGUUCAUUUUCUCCUAUUUUCUCUGUAAAUCUUUGCUCCCUUUUUUCCCCUUUGUACUAAAAUUCUUUUCAGAUAUUUUAUGCAAAAAUUAGUUUAGAACAUCAAUAAAUUUUUAUUACAUCCAGGAGAAAGACAAUUGCACUUAGAUCAGUCUUAUUUAAUUGAAUUAUAGGUAAUAAAAUUGGUUUAACAAAAUGUGAUUCUUAACUCUUGUAAUUAAAGAUUAGGGUUCUUUGAUUUUAGUGGUGUAGGGCUAAUAACUCUAUGCAACAAUUCUUGGUGGGUUAGUUUAGUAUACGAUCAUUCUCAAUUCUUUAAAGGUCUCGUCAUUAAAAAUUCCGAUAUCAUAAUUAGAAUUCACACAUGAGUCAAAGUGAGUCAAAGUGAGUCAAAUCAAACCUACAAAUUUGAAGUUCACCAUAAACUUAGGACAAAUUAAAUUGAAGGUGAUUAAUUAAGUACUAGACGAAACCGAACUUAUAAAUUUACCUUACCACACGAUGAACGUACUUAAAAAUCUUAAAUUACACGCAAUUAAUUAUUAAUCUAUAUUUUCUUCAUCGUAUAUCGUUGAAACUUCAUGCUUCACAACAUAUUGUUCCUAAUUGGCCUAAUUGUGUAUUUUUGUCGCGGUCUUGUGCUAUGUUACGGAAAACCGUAAGUGAUGGACACUAAUUUAACGAGAAACAUAUCUAACAUUGCCACAUGUUGUCUCAACAUGUGCGUGAAAACCGAAUUAACCUGUUUGCAUUCGACAACAAAGGAAACUAUUACUUGCUGUUGACCGAUUGCCAAGUAUUUCAAUACCUCCACCAAAAUCUUUAUGACACCACUUUUAAAUUUCAUUUUUUAGAAUACACCCAAUUUUAUUUAUAAAAUAUAAAUCUAGUUAUUAAAAUUAAUCAUCUUCUCAUGAAUUUUCAACUUAAAAAUAUAUUUCUUUUAAUUUAUUAUUAUAAAAUAUAUACAUAUUCUAAACUAUUAAAUAUUUUCCUCUUAUCAUAUAAUUUAUAUUUCUAUAACUUUAAACUCGUAUAAUUUUCUAAAUGUAUAUUUUUCAAUUUAAAAUAUCAAACAGAGCGGGUAUAAAAAUUUUGUUAAAAAAUAAUUUAUUUAAGUAUUUAACUGAAUUUUAAUUUAAAAAUUGAAAUAAAUUAAUUCAUUUUUUAUUAUUUAAGUAAAUUUCAAGUAGAAAAGAUCUUUAUGAGAAAUUUUCAAUGUGUCAAAAUGCCUACUCAAUGGAUAUUAUGAACGACCCAAACUGUGGAGUUAUUUACCCCUCGCAUGUUGUGUAACGAGAGCCAAUUGUGAUCCAAUCAACUGCAACCCUCUCCCGACUCAUUAAUUUUAUAACCCGACUUACUAAUUUUGGUAUUGCUUAAAUGCAAUAUACUUACUAGGCAAUUUAUCGGCAAUAAAACUUGUACAGUAUAGUGGAUUGUUAUAAAAUAUGAGGAAGACAUUACGUACAAAUUGGAUUUAUCUCAUGAAAUUUGAUUAACGAAAGUGUAUGAAAAUAUAUGAAGAAAAAAAUGGUUGUGUAAAUGCUGUAUCGGUGAUGUAUUACUUUUAUAGUCCAUCAAGGUAUAUUUGAUUUUAAUGAUGAAACAAAUACAAGUAAAUCCAUGUACGUCAAUGGUAGAUGGUUCCGGGUUAAACUUGUGGAUUAUAGAAACUAAGCGAGGUUCAUAAAAAAUAUUUUAGAUAAUACCCCUGAAAAAUUACAAAACUAUUUUAAAAAAAGAGAAAUACAUAUUAACUGAGGCAACAAAUGAUUUUGUGAGUAAUAUUAUUGACAUAUGAUUAAAAUUCUUAUUAAUUAAACAUUUUCGUAUAAAUACUAGUGAUAUAAACUUAUAGAGAAAGUACGAAGAAGUGAAGAAAACUUGAAUAUAAAUACUCCGAUAUAAUUUCACACAUAAAAAUUAUGAUGCAGUGAUCUUCAAAGCAUCAUAAAUUGUUUUAGCAUAAGUAAUUAUAAUUUGAAAAAUUGCCAAUAACGUUUAAGGUGGAAACGAAAAGGUUAUACUGUAUAAUUUCACAAAUGAUAUCAUUUAAGACAGCUUAAAAAUUAUGAGAAAUAUAUCGAUCUUGCAAAUAAUAUUUAAUAUGUCAAUUAGACUGAAUCUAUGCAAUAAAAAUUUCAAAUAAAAUAAUAAACCCUUAAUUUCCUUUUAAUAAUAAUUAUGAUCUUAAUUACUAAAGUCAUUCAAUGUCAAGUACUUAUUCAUUUUUUUUUCAAUUAUUGUAAAGACAUUUAGAACUCUAUUCAAUAUUUAUUCAUUCGAAUGUUCUAUUUCAAAGUAAUCAAAAAUUGUAAAUGAAACAAAUUCUUGUAAUCACAAGUGGCCUAAAAUGGGAUUUUUAUUUUUUAAUGUUGCAAUGACUUUGAUCUUGAUAUUGAAACUUUAUUAGUAACGCAUAUAAAGGCUUCAAUUUUAUCGUAAUUGGCUUUUAAUGCUAUGUUCGAGAGUAAGGAUAAAUUGUGAGAUUGGAUUAGAUUUCGGGACUUAAAAAUUAAUUUCAUCUAGUAUCAUAUUUUGCUGUCAAGCUAGUAAAUUAGUCCAAUUUUUUUGGGAUUAAGUAGGAGAAGAUUGAUAAGAUUAAAUGAAAUGUUUUGUUCCCUUUAUCACUCUUUUCUUUUUCGUUUAAAUUAAAUAUAAAAAUCAAUUUCAUAAUUCUUCCCUAGAAUUUUAUAUAUAUUAAAUACCAAAAUUCUAAUCAAUAUUAUUUUAAAUUGUAUUUACUUUAAGAUUAAAUAUCUAAAUUUAAUACAAUAAUUUAGUUAAUCUAGUAUUGAAUAUUAAACAUAAAAAAUUAUUCAAUUAUUUGUUUACCAUAAAAUUGAAUAUUAAAUAUUAAAAUAAUUAUUUAAUAGCAUAUUAUAUCUAUAUAUUAAUAAGAAACAUAUCAUUCAUUAUUUGAUUAUUAUAUUAAAAAUAAACUUAAAUAUUAUUUAACAUCAUUUAGAUUUAAGUUAAUAUAGUACAAUCUAAUGUUAUACUAAACAUGCACAAUACUAUGUAUAGCCUAGUACAGCCAUCAAUAAAUAUUAUUCGCCAUUAGUACAGCCUAGUCCGGUCCAUUUAGGAAUUGGGAUGAACUUUCAGAUAGCUCAUCAUCCAUCUGGGCUCCGGGGGACAUCGAUGAACAAGAAGAAGAAGAAGAAAACGACGUCGUGUCAUCUUGGAAGAAGAAAGAUGGGAUGGGGUUUUAACCAAAGUCAAGUUCUCUAUGAAUUCAUUAGAAGAAUCACUACAGCAGGAAAUCGAAGUCGUUUGGGAAUUUAUUAGAGGUAGUGGAAAGCGGCAGUGGGGGAGCUAAGCAAGUACUGGAGAAGGAAGAUAAUGCAGCAAAAGACAUGAGGGCCCAAAUAGUAUAAUAUAGUAGGUGUGUUUUGUUUUGUGGAUUUUAGUUAUUGUGUCUGUUAAGUGGAAUGUACUAGGUAUAGUUCAUUAUGAAUACUAUAAAUAUGUACUAGGUAUAGUUCAUUAUGAAUACUAUAAAUAUGUACUAAAUCCGUUGUAAAAACGCCACUUGGGCUUUGGCUUAGUGGUGAACCACUACUCUCAAAGUUAAACAGAACUAUAAGGGUAGUGGUUCGAGUUUACAUAGGCUCAAUCUCUCUCAAUUAAGUAAAAAAUUGUGUAGAGUUAAUUUAUAAGUUUUUCUCUCUUGCGAAAUGUGAGUGGAGGAGAGACAUCCCUUGUUUGUGAGGAUCAUAUGUCUGGACAUGUACUUCAUUGAAUUAAUGUAAUAAUGUAAGUCCCGGUUAUAUAUAUGAUUGUAAAUAUCAGUGUAAAUGUCUGGGCAUGUACUUCAUAGAAUUAAUGUAAUAAUGCAAGUCUCAGUUAUAUAGUCUCAGUUAUAUAGCUGAUUGUAAAUAUGAUUGUAAAUAUCAGUGUAAUGUCUACUGUAAUAGCAAUUGUAAAUAUUUGUGUAAUACAGUAAUCUAAUGUGUAAUAAAUAUUAAAAAAAAAUCCGUUGUAAAAAUGAACCUAUUCAAAUUCUAAUUCAGAAUUUGUUAUACUUUCUUCUUUUUGUGAGAACGCAAGUUAAAGCGAAAUCUAAAAAAACUCUUCGUCAAUUGGUAUCAGAGCUUUCUUGUUAAAUACAUCUUCCAUAUCUUUCCAUCACCAACUACCGAAAUUCUGCAUCAUCAAGACUAAAAAUUUCAAAAUCAAUAGAAAUUGAAUCAACAAUAGUCUCUGUUUAAAAUUUUUUUGCUCUCUUCUCUGAAAAUAAUAAUAAUAAUUCUUUGUAAAAUCUAUUAUCAUCCUCUUAUAAUCAUAUUCAUCUAAACUAGUCAACUUUUUAGAUGCUAUCAUUCUUAUUAUUAUAUUUUAAAUUAUUAUUGUUCUUUUUUUUACAAAUUUAAUUUAUUUUUUAUUUUUCAAUUGUUAUAUGCUUGUGUAUUUUUGAAAAAAGAAAAGAGCUAUUUUAUAUUUCUUUGAAAGUUGAUGUUGUUGAAUGUACAAAUCCCUAAAAAACUUUUAAAAAAAAGUUCGUCUAUGGCCUCGAAUCCCUUAGAAUUGAUCCUGACAUAGUAAACACUUAUUGUUAUGGUUUGAAAAUUAGGUUAAUUUGAUUCCACACUUGUACGAUGAAAAAUCUUUAAUAUUUUUACCAAAUCAAAUUUAUAAUUUAGAAAUCAUAUUCAGCACAUAUCAUUUACUUUUAUUUCAUAAGCAAUUUUUGUUUUGGGUAUCGUUGUGCUCGAGACAAAACGGGCCUAAUUUUUAAGGGAGAACCUAGUCGGCUUGGCUGUUGAAGGAAAGGCAUCGAUUAACUUUUUGAACCAUCAUUUCCUCACAAGAAAACAUGGUUCAAUUUGAUCAAUCAAAAAGAAAUAUCCAAUAUUUACAAUUGAUGGAGAUUGAUACGAUCUAAUAGCUGAUUAAUUGAGAGUGGCAUAAUGCUUGACUCUCGUUAACAUGUUAACUUAGACAUCAUGUAAGAUAUCUUUUAACAUAAUUAUAUAAAGUUAAAUGAGGCCCUACCGUUAAUAUGUAAUAAGGUUAUAACUUAAAUAUUGCACAAAGCAAUACCGUUGGAAGGUAUCAUUAGAUUGUUGAGGCCGAAGGCGUAUCGGCAGGAGUUAAUUUGAUAGCGGCUGAACUAAUAUAUUAUUUUUCUAAAUUCAAGGACUAUAACAUUCAUAAAUUUAAUCAUACCUAAGUGAAUAGUUACUUGAAAUUAAGAAAUCUUAAAAUUUGAUGCAGUUCAAAUUUGCUGAACAAAUUUUUUUAUAGUACUUUUGUUGUUUAGAUAGAAAAGUCUAAUAAUGACAUAAAAUUGAAUAACAAACUCUUUUAUCGUCUGUAGAAAAUGAUUUGGGAUAGUUGAUUAAGUUCAUUAAAAGAAAGAAAAAGUACUAUAUUAUAGAAAUUAUAUAUAAUAAGGAGGUAAUAUAAUAUUUCUAGAAGGCAAUUUUCACAUUAAUCAAAAGUAGAACUUAAGUGAAAUUUUCACAAGCUACCUGGGCAGCCCUCUCUAUCCUUCACCACUGGUAUUUUUUAGGUAUAAAUUCUCAGUUGGAUAAAAAUACAAAUAAUAAAAAUAAAUCAUGUGCACUAAGAGGUAUUUAAUCCAAUUAAUUUAAUCAUGCCACAUCAGUAGGGAUGUCAAUGGGGCGGGUUCGGGUUCGGGUGGGGAUCAUGAUCUCCGAACCCGAACCCGAACCCGAUUUAGAAGCAAUCCCCCGAACCCGCCCCAUACCCGAAAAAUUGUAAUGGGGGAUUGUUUGGGUAUAUCCCCGAAAAUCCCCGAAUUAUACUGGAUUUAAAACCAACUAGUACUAAGAUAUUUAAAAGAUAAAAUACAAAUACUCGCUUAUUCUUUGGCUGCAAUGAACAUUUACUAAUUAAGCAUCUAUAAUUUCUAGUUAUAUUUAAUGGUUAAUGAUGCUUAAUUGACUUACAGAAUGGCAAAGGUAAUAUAAAAACUAAAUUCUGGAAGUUAUUAAAUUUAUCUACUUUCAUGAAUUUUUGGGAUAGCACAUAAUUGUCAUGAAGAAUUACCAACCAUGUUGCAUUUGUUGUAACUACUAGACAUUAUAUUAAUUUAAUUAGAAGAUCGACAAAUCCAUGCUACCAAAACUUUUACUUUUCAGCCACUUUAGUGUCUGCCAAACUAAAAUAAGCAAUAUAACACAACACAGUGCUAUUAAGGAGGUAAGGCAGACCAUUGUUGCAACCAUAACCAAGUUCAGUAAAAUGUCCUCUUGGAUGUUUCAGCAAACUAAAAUAGAACUAGUCACUGAACCUUCCAGAUGUUGAGCAGAUCUACAAUCAAGAUUCAGUAGCAGCGUAAGUACAUGGAUUCAAUAGAACUAUCAAACUGGCGAUUGAGAAUGUCAGGAUUCUGGAUCAAAAUUUAUUCCUCUAGAUGUCAGUGGCAUCAAGCUACUAUCUCGUUUAUGAACAGUUAAAUUCCUUCAGCUUCGAAACUAGCUAGCUAAAGGAAGUGGGCAAUAUGCAAGCAAGCAAUUAAACCCUGGAAAUUUAACACAGAGCUAAAAGAAAAAUUUUAACACAGAGUUAAAAGAAAAGCAAGCGGGCAAUAUGCAAAAUAGAAUCAGACUAAAAAAUCAUGACUACCCAAGCUAUAAACCAAUUAAACCCUUAAAGUUUCAGUUGAUAGCACAGGCAAACUAAUAAAGCUAAUAUUACUGACAAACAAAUUGCAGCCAGUAUCCAAAGGAAGUGCUAAACAUGACAAUCAGAUGCAACUCAAUGACUCAUUACUGACAAACAAACACACGCACAGAGACACCCAAAUCAAUGAAACCAGAUGCAAUUCGAAAUAAAUAAACAAAGAAAGAAAAGUAGAAAAGGCAAAAACCUUGCUGCAGGAGAACCAACAGGUGCAGCUGAGUGUUGGUCGGUGAGGACGAACGGUGGCGGCUGACCGGCUGUUAGUGACGACGGCAGCUCACAAACUGUUAGGGUUUCUUUUGGGGGAAAAUUUUGAUUCGAUGGCAUUACAAUUUCUAAUUUCAAAGUUUAAAAUAUUAGUUUUUUUUUGUUUUUCUUUUCGGGUUGAGUUAGGGGAUCCGGAAAAUCCCCAAACCCAAACCCAAAAAAUUUUGGGGUUUUAGAUCCAUACCAAAAUAGACCCGAAUUUAUUUUCAGACUUUUUCAGGGCCCCAUACCCGCCCCAAAUUAAUCGGGGCCCCGCGGGUAUUGUUGCCAACUCUACACAUCAGUUUGUACAAAAUAAAUUUGUAUAGUAGUUUGUAACUCCAUGAAUUAUGAUUACUCAUCAGAAAAAGACAAAGCACUUAUGUAGGAAAAAGUUUAUUUUUCAAUCAUCCACCAAACAAAGCAAGCUGUUGUCAUUCUAAAGGAGAGAGUAGAAAGUACUUUUAAACCGUUAAAGAAUGGUUGUGAGAGUGAAAGGCAAAAUAGGAAGAGGAUUUUGGGAUUUUCAAGAGGAAUUUGAGUUUGCAAAUUCUCAAGAAAAUGAAGCAUGGGAUGAACGAAUCUCAAAUGAUUUUUAAGUAUCGCAAGGGUGGCCACUGGGCACUGGCCUCGUAUUUUAUAAGGACAAAUAUCUUCUCGUGUGUUAGUGGGAAUACAUUUCGAGUUAAUUUUUGAAAAAUUCUUGAUUGAACUACAAAGUAUAUGUACCUAAAACUUCAAAUAGAGUUUCUUUUCCCUUUUUGGAGAACCAACAGACUCUUGAUUAAUGCCAUUUGCAUAGGCAUGUGAUAAGAUACCUAGAUUAUGGGAAAAUAAUGAAGUUUUAUAUGAUAGAUUAGAGUGUUGAAAUUGUAAAUUGUUUAAGUAUUAAAAUUAUAUUGAAAUCCAAUAUUUGGUUACCAGUUAGCACAUAAUAUUUAAAAAUGAUUAAGAAACAGGUAAACUAAUAUAAAAAGAAAUAAUAGAACUAAACGACAAAGCACCUAUUUUGGAAAAGUUUAUUGUUCAAUCUACCACUAAUUGAACAAAAGCAAGUCACUGUCAUUCCAAGGAAACGUACACAACUAGUCACCUACUUAGGAAUAAUUUUUCAAUCCGGGAAUCUUGAAGUUUUUAUAAAUAAAUCAGCUUACAAUUUUAUAACUGUUGGAGAAAAAUUAGUUUUUAUAAUUCUAUAAUAAAAACUUUUAGAAUCGCUCUUAUACAAUAAAUAAGAAUUUGUAAUCUAGAAAUCGUACCUUGAAAAUGCGAUUUGGCUUUUUUCGCUGAGGUGAUUUAGGCUCCUAGAUCACGAUCUGCCACCACCACUCCUGUCAGAUCACGAUCCGUCACCACUACUCCUGUUAGAUCACAAUCCACCACCAAAUAAUCUUCUAGGCUAUGACUCAAGUUUGAUCUGCGCUUGACGUGUAGGCGCUUUUAUCACCACUAAAGCAACUAGCACGAGAAAAUUUUUCUCUCAAUAAUAAAGAGAAAAAUCUUUUUCUCUGAUCUGUAUAAAGUGGUUGCUAUACCUCUCUUCAGAGAAAAUAAGUCAUUUUAUAUCUCUAUCUAGUGGAAACCUUAGGCUCCAUUUUUUUAUAUUAUUUAAUUCUAUUAAAUCAAGUUUGAUUUAACUUAAAAAUAAUAAACCAAAAGUAACGCUACUUCUUUCUUGUCAUAGGGGCCCACCUUAUAAAAUAACACAAGGCCCCUUAGACACAAGUACAUUACAUGGAGCCUCACACUAAAUAAUAUAUUUAGGCUUUUAACCAAAAUAAUUAGUUAUCUUGCUUAUUAAUCCAGUAGUGGCGCAAUCAAUUAAAUGACCUAACCCGGGGAUCAUUUGGGAACAUACAAUAGUGGCUAUAAUAAUUAGGUCUGUAAUUAAAUUAGCCCAAUUAUUUAAUUCCAAAUCUACUCCACUAAAAGAUUAGAACUGAUCUCCAUAAUUGUAUGCUCGAACAAUAAUUUUGGGCCAUAAUAUAGUUUUAUAAAGUUUUGGGGUCAAACUAUAAUUUUGAAAAAUAGUUCACCAUAGCUUUCUUCUUGAGUUUGUUGAGAAGUGGGCAUUCCGAUCUUAUAUGGCCGGACUUCUUGCAUUCAUAGCAUAUGAUUACCUCUUUCUUCUCCUUUUGGUUUUUGAAAUUUCUGAAUUUUCUUCGGUCACCGGUUUUCUUGAAAAAGUUUCUGAACCUCCUUGCUAGCAUAGCCAACUCCUCAUCAUCCGGCUCACUUUCCCCAUGACUCUCAUAUUUGGUGACUUUGAGAGCAAUGUUUUUCUUCCUUUCCUCGUUUCCUCUUUCAGCUGCCAAAUCUUCCUCAUAAGAAAUAAGAGAACCAAUUAAAUCAUCAAUAGGUAAGAUAUUCAAAUCUUUAGCUUCCUCAAUGGCAGUCCUUUUUGGUCUCCAUUCCUUAGAUAACGACCUAAUGAUUUUCUUAACUUUCUCGCUAUUUGAAAAGGUCUUUCCUAGGGCUCCUAGAGUGUUUACUAUGUCCGUAAAUCUAGUAUACAUAUAAUACACACUCUCAUUUUGUUCCAUUUGGAACAAUUCAUAUUGCCGAGUGUAUCUACUAAUUUUAGACUCUUUCACUUGAUUCGUGCCUUCAUAAACAACUUCAAGUUUGUGCCAAAUUUCAUUAGCACUUUCACAACUAGACACUCUAUGAAACUCUUUCUUAUCGAGUGCACAAAACAAGGCAUUCAUGGCUUUGGAAUUUAGAGAAGCUUUUCUCUUUUCCAAUUCAUUCCAUUCCCGUGAAGGUUUUGGAAUGUCUUCCCCAAUUUCAUUUUUAGUCAAAGGCAUAAAUGGACCAUCACAUACAACUUCCCAAAUUUCAUAAUCUAAUACUUGUAAAUAAAUUCUCAUCCUAGUUUUCCAAUACGGGUAGUCAUUUCCGUCAAAGAACGGUGGCCUAGUUGUGGAUUGUCCUUCCCUAAAGGUUGAAUCAUUUUGGGUUGCCAUGGAUCUUUUACUCUAGACGGUUAAGUCCUAACAAGAGAACCAAGCUCUGAUACCAAAUGAAAUACAAGUAACGCAACCCAAGAGGGGGGGGGGGGUGAAUUGGGUUUUUAAAAAUAAUGCAAUACGAUUCGCACAAUAAAUCAAUCUAACGCCUUAAUGAAAUAUAGAACAAUAAAUUCAAACAAGCAUAAAAAUAAAAGAGCAAGGGAAGAUAAAAACAAACACGCGGAUUUUUACGUGGUUCGGCAAUCCUCGCCUACGUCCACGCCUCCAAGCCAACCAAGCUCGAGGAUUUCACUAUCCAAGCCUCCCAAGUCUUUAAGUUUUUACAAUUGACUUCCAAGGUGUCAAUGAACCUUUACAACCAAGAGAUUAUCUCCUCAAUCUCUUCACCCCAAGUGUUUCCCACACUUACACACUCACAAUUUGAUAAGAAAUGAAAAUUACAACAAAAACUCUCUUUAAGAGUGGAUAUGCAACUAAUAGCUCAACAAUGAUUCAAUCAAUGAUGAUUUGCGUUUUGGAAGCUCAAUAUAUGUUGUAUGAUCUUAUAUUUUCGUGCAUUAGUCCUUAGAAUGAAGUUUGAGUUGAGUUUUUAUAGUGAAAGCCCAAAAACUAGCCGUUAUAGGCAAAUUCCCGUGCUCAAGCGGUUAGCCGCUUGAUUAUCCGGCUAGCCACUCAGGAACAGUGAUCUUAAUUUUUGAAUUUUGCUACACUAAAACUGUUCACUGAAAUUAUACUUUGGCCCAAAACUUUCUAUAAUUAUAUUAUGACCCAAAAUGUCAUAAAACUUUACAAAUAGGUCCAAUUUCAGAACUUCCUAAGAAUAAUUAUCUUUCCCAAACUUUUUGAAAUUAUGAUAUGGCCCCAAAGAUUUUAUUAUUUCGCACAAAGGUCCUUUUCAACAUAAUACCCAUAUUUUUUGAAAGUUCUCAAAACCUUUCACUUUAGUCCAAAAUAUUCAUAAAUUAUAGUAUGGCCCAAAACAUUUCAAAUGUUUGUAAAAACGUCCAACUCUGAAAUUUAAUACUUAUUAAAAUCAAAGAUUUCAAAUCUUAGCAUUUAAGUCCAAAUUACUCAAAUCCAUAAAAUACUUUACUUUAUAAAAAUAAAACCUUUUAGUUUAUGAAAAGUAUUUAAUUAAAUUAAUCUCUUGAGCUUCUCAAAUGCUAAAUCAUGCAUCAAUUAAAUCAUACCGGCUUUACAAGAAUUUAUUGCACUAAUUUGUUCGUUGAGCUCUAAACUAUAUUCUUGAUGUCGCCGUUGUCCGUUGAGUGUCUUUAAUCUUGAUUUCACUUGAUUCACUUGCAUAAAUAUUAUCCUUCAAAAGCUAGUGAAAAUGUGAAAUACAAUAUUUAUUAUUUUUACUUAAGACACAUGUUUGUUAUCAUCAAAAUUACAUUAUGUGUAGCCGUUUAGGCUAACAAACAUCUCUGUCUAUUAGAGCUUCGUUGUAGCUAGUGGGAUCUUAUACAUGUUCAACUGAGAUCGCCGUAUAGGUUUCUCUCAAUAACAUGUAUCUUGCAGGUAAACCUAGUUACCCUCCCACUACGACGAGGUUCUAAAAGUGAUGGUUGUUCAGGGAUAAUCCUGUGCUGAUCAAUUGGUUGUUGUUGUUCUUCCUGUUCUAUAACAAGUGUUGAAAGCUGAGUAUCAACAUGAUCUCUUUUAUUUCUCUAGUUUUACCUUACUCUUAGGUUAUAAGUAAUUAUAUAGUCUUCCUCAAAGAAAGUAAAGAAUAUGUCUAUAAAUACAUUCCUAUCUUGAGGACUAUAAUUCAGACUUUCCCCUUAUUCCUUUAAGAUACCUAAAACAUGCAAGCUUCUGAACACGAAUCCAUUUUCUCUACCUCUGAUUCUAGUACAAAUACUAGUAAUCUCCAAAUUCGAAUGUGUCUCAAACUAUGUUUGUGACUUUUUCAUAAUUUCUUGGAGUAAUAGACACCGAGAUAGACGAAACUAAGUUCAACAAACUUUGCGGUUUUAAAUACUAGUAUCUGGAAUAAAAAAGGUAAAUAAUAAACCACUUAGUAUAUAUCUUGUCUUAUCCAAAAGAAUCUUGUUUCUCCAUUUAAUUAGACUAUUGUAUCAUAGUAUUCUUUAACAACCAAAUAGAGCUUGAAUUCUCCAUAGAUAUAUUCUUUGUUUCGAUCAUAUCGAAGUUCUUUUAUGUUCCUGUCUAAUUGCUUCUGUCUUAUCCACGUACUCUUUUGAAUUUUAAAAGCAAUGAAAUCAUGACGCAUUUAGACAAACAUAAAUAAAAUGAAUAUUCAUCAACAAGAUUGAUAGAAUACUCAUAACCUCUUAUAACAUGUAAACUGAUUAGUCCGUAUACAUUUGUAUGUGCUAAAUCAUCCAAUACAAUGUUAUGCUUUGAUGGAUUUAAGCAUAGCAAUCGGAGAAAAGGUUUUCUCAUAAUCGAUUCCCUCUUUCUGAGUAAACCCUUUAGCUACUAAUCUUGCUUUAAAUGUUUCCAUCCUUCCGUCUACUCUUCUUUUUCUCUUGUAGAUUCACUUGCACCUUAUAGGUUUUACCCCAUUUUGUGCCUCUACAAGUUCCCAGACUUUAUUGGAAUACAUAGAUUCCAUUUCUUGAUUCAUGAUAUUUUUCCAAAAUUCAACAUCUCUGUUUAUUAGAGUUUCGUUGUAGCUCGUGGGAUCUUGUACAUGUUCAUCUAAGAUCGCCAUAUGGGUUUCUCCUAAUAACAUGUAUCGCGUUGGUAACCUAGUUACCCUCCCACUACAACGAGGUUCUAAAAGUGAUUGUUGUUCAGGGAUAUUCCUGUGUUGAUCAGCUGGUUGUUGCUGUUCUUCCUGUUCAAUAAUAGGUGUUGAAAGAUGAGAAUCAACCUGAUCUCCUUUUUAUUUCUCUAGUUUUACCUUACUCUUAGGUAAUAAGUCAUUAUAUAGUCUUCCUCAAAGAAAGUAAAGAAUAUGUCUAUAAAUACAUUCCUAUUUUGAGGACUAUAAUUCAGACUUUCCCUUAUUCCUUUAAGAUACUUAAAACAUGCAAGCUUCUGAACACGAAUCUAUCUUCUCUACCUCUGAUUCUAGUACAAAUACUAGUAAACUCCAAAUACGAAUGUGUCUCAAAUUAUGUUUGUGACUUUUUCAUAAUUUCUUGGAGUAAUAGACGUCGAGGUAGAUGAAACUAAGUUCAAUAAACUUUGCAAUUUUGAAUUCUAGUAUUUGGAAUAAAAAAGGUAAAUGAUAAACCACUUAGUAUAUAUCUUCUAAACGAAUCUUGUUUCUCCAUUUAAUUACACUAUUGUAUCAUAGUGUUCUUUAUAUGUGGGAGUUUAUCCCAUUUGACAACCAAAUAGAGCUUGAAUUCUCCAUAGAGAUAUUCUUUGUUUCGAUUAUAUCGAAGUUUUUUUUUAUGUUCCUGUUUAAUUACUUCUGUCUUAUCCACGUACUUUUUUGAAUUUCAAAAGCAAUGGAAUCAUGACGCAUUUAGACAAAAAUAAAUAAAAUGAAUAUUCAUCAACAAGAUUGAUAGAAUACUCAUAACCUCUUAUAACAUGUAAACUGAUUAGUCCGCAUACAUUUGUAUGCAUUAAAUCAUCUAAUACAAUGUUAUGCUUUUAGCUUAAAAAGAUCAUCCUCGUCAUAUUACAUUUCUAAAUAAGAUUUAUAGCGUUACAAUGAUCAAUCUUAAUACUUCAACAAACCUAUCAUUAAUCAUUUUCUUAAAAUCUUAUUAUAGUUUAUAUGACUUAAGCAUAAAUAUCAGAGGUGAUAUUGGUUAGAAGAAACAUUUCUUUUCUUAGAUAAAUGCAUAUACUCUUUAUCAUUAUAUCUUGCUUUGAAUAAAUCAAUGGACUUAUAUGAUAUAAAUUGUCUUUAUAAAUAACCAGAAUAAGUAAUAAAUAGAGGAUCCAAAAAUAACAAUGUACUCCUGUUUAUUAAAACAAGCCACCAAAAUUAAAUUCCUCUAAUAUUUGGAAAAAUAAAGACAAAUAUCAAAACUAAAGUCUUGUAAAAUUAAUCUAACCUUUCAAUUGAUAUAAACUAGCAUGUCAUCAACUGCUGUUUGAAGCUUUCUUUACUUAAUCUCUUGGUUUCUUGAAAACCAAAUAAAUGAAUUACAAAUAAGAUUAGUUAUCUCAGAAUUCACUAGUGCAUGAAUCAAUAGAUAUCUGAACUAAUUAGGAAGCUUAAAGAUUUCCUAUACCUGAUUUUAAUAAUCUUAGGACAAUCUUUCUUCCAGUGACCCUUCUGUCCACAUUUGUAACACUUGCCUUUUGGCUUGCCACUUCUUUUAGUGGACAGUUUGCCGAUCCCAACUCUUUCUUGCUCAUUCUUAUCUUUCGACUUAAGCCUUGAAGAGAAUCCUUUUUCAGGAAGUUUUCUGUUAUGAUAAAAUUCUUCUAUAGCAUGUAGUUCGUGCAUUAAUUCAAUUAAGGUCAUAUCUUUAUUGUUUAAGAUAUAGCUGACCUUAAACUCUUUGAAUGUAUCAGGCAAAGAUUCAAUCACCAUGUUAAUCUUUGUUUUAUCAUUGAUUUGAACACCAUGAAUCUCUACUUCAUUCAAAUAGUCCAUCAUUUUGAGGACAUGAUCAUGAACUCUUGUGCCCUUUUCCAUCUUAGUAUCCGUAAUACGUUUUAAUGCUGCUUCUCUGGCAAAAUGAGUAUUUUGCCCAAACAUCUGAUGAAGACUAGCCAUUAUUUCAGUGGUUGUUUCCAUGCUCCGAUGUUUCUUAUGUAGUUCCACAGAAAUCGAAGCCAAUAUAUAGCGCUUAGUUAUUUUCUUAGCUUCGCACCAUUUCUCAUAAGGCUCCCUCUGAUUUCUAUAAUCGUAUAACGAUGGUUCUGGAGGGCAAGGCUGGGUCAACACAUAUUUACAGCCCUUAGCAGUGAGAAUAUUAAAUAGAUUGCGUCUCCAAUCUAAAUAAUUUUCGCCAAUGAAUUCAUUUUUAACAAGGAUAAUUAAUAAUGGGUUGAUGGAAGACAUUUUCUGAAAAAACAAAAUAGACAUGCAUAAAUACUUUGAAACAGUAUUCACAAUAAAUGAUAAAAAUGCAAAAAAACAUAAAUGCAUUUUUAAUUUAUUGUAACGAUAAUCUAGUACCGCUUUGACAAGCUAUCCGUUGGGAAAGUCAUGUCUACACUUACUAGACCCAAUUAUCCAUUGAAUUAUUAACUUUUAUGUAGAGACAUGAUAAAUAAUUAUCGUUAUCCCUUUGGGCCUACAUUUGUUAACAGAGCUUCGUUGGGAAGGUUAAUAACAAAUUUUAGUAGAGUGUAUAACCAUUAUUUCAAUCUACAUAUUUUUUAUAUCAAUAGUCACCGUUGGGGUGAACAAUUGAUUGAAAAAUAUUUCAAUUUUAUCUUUGAAGAAGUUCAUCAAAUAAAAUAUCUAAUAUAUAUACCCUCCGUAAGGAGCAUCACCAUAUCAUGAAGUCGAGGUAUAUAUAUAAUUUUAUUAUUGAACUAAUAAUGGAGCCCGUGGGAAAAGUUAUCUUAAAUUUUCCCUCUCCCACUCAAUAUUUUAAAAUUAGUUUUUCAUUUUUAAAAAAUACAUAUUGUUAAUUGCAUGCUUCCUAUAAUAUUAUCUAGAUGAUGUCCAAUAUAAUUAAGCAUACACAAAUUACAAACAAUAUAAUGAGAUUCAUAAUUAAUGAAUGACAUGUAUCAUUAUGUAUAGAGUGACACUACCUAUUCUAUAUGACAUGUUAUCAUCCAAAACAUAACAUAUAGAAAAACAAUUAAAUAAUGUUAAUUCAUGGCUUUCCUAAAAUAGAAAAAUACAUUAACCCUAAGCCUAAUCUACAUUGGGCUUAUUGUCAAUGUCCAUCUUCCAUAGGCAUGUCUUUGUUAAUGGAUUAGGGGAAAUUGGGCUUUUAAAUUUAUUAUUGGUCCAAUUUUAAUUUUGAAAGGAAAUAAAUAAUAAUUUAAUUUUUUAAAAUAAAAUUUUUGGACCAAAAUAAAUUUAAUGUGUUCAAUUUUAUCUAUAUAUUUUAAUCCAUUAACCUCAACUUCAAUUGGGCCUAAAACUAAGAUUCAUUAAGUCCAAAACUGUUUUUAGACUUAAAUGCAAAAAAUUAAAAUUUUUCUGCCCAAAAGACAAAUUAUCGAACCAUAGGGAACUCCAUGAUAAAAAUCAUGAAAAACCUAAAAUCCAUAUUUUUCUUUAUCCUUCUUCCCCAGCCGUCAUCUCCACAAAGCAGCCACUGUUCAGGCCUUUCUCACUGGACAGCCGCCAUCAACGCCGAGUUUGCCGUUGCCGAUACGUCAGAAGGUCGCCAACGAACGACCUCCGCCAGCAGCCUGCGCGCACGCGCUUCCAACCCACGCUGCAGCUGCUGGUCGCACGCUGCAGCUGCUGGUCGCACGCUGCAGCUGCUGGUCGCACGCUGCAGCUGCUGGUCGCACGCUGCAGCUGCUGGUCGCACGCUGCAGCUGCUGGUCGCACGCUGCAGCUGCUGGUCGCGUGCUGCAGCUGCCAGCCACUACGCGCACGCGACAACUGCUGGGCGUGCAACGCGCGAUGCUGUUGCGCAUGGCUGCUGGCAGCAUGCUGUUGAAAUUUCUAGCAUCCAUUCCUUUAAUCUGUCGUCACGUGAUUAAUUCCAGUGAUAAUAAACCACCUCUCUUGUUACAGAUCCAAAGGAAAAAUACAACAGAGAAUCUAACCAUAAAUUAAGACAAACCAUAACAUGCUUUAUUCAUAUAUUAAACAAAUAAUAUAUAUCCGAAUAAAUUGUGCCACUCUAAUACAUAAAUAUCAAGAUUGAUUUCAUACGAAAUUCUUAUUUAUUAAUAUGAGAUGGCUCUAAUACCAAUUGUUGGAGAAAAACUAGUUUCAUAAUUUUAUAACAAAAACUUUUAGAUUCGCUCUCAUACAAUAUAUAAUAAUUUGUAAUUUAGAAAUCGUACCUUGAAAAUUCGAUUUGGCUUUUUCUGUUGAGGUCAUUUAGGCUCCCAGAUCACGAUCUGCCACCACCACUCCUGUCAGAUCACGAUCUGUCACCACCACUCAUGUUAGAUCAUGAUCCACCACCAAAUAAUCUUCCAGGCUAUGACUCAAGUUUGAUCUACGCUUGACGUGUGGGCGCUUUUAUAACCACUAAAGCAACUAGCACGAGAGAAUUUUUCUCUCAACAGUAGAGAGAAAAAUCUUUUUCUCUGAUCUGUAUAAAGUGACAGCUAUACCUCUCUUCAGAGAAAAUAAGCUUUUUUAUAUCUCAUUUUUAUACCUCCCACUAAAUAAUAUAUUUAGGCUUUUAACCCAAAUAGCUAGUUAUCUUGCUUAUUAAUCCAGUAGUGGUGCAGUCAAUUAAAUUAGCUAACCCGGGGAUUAUUUUGGAACAUACAAUAAUGGCUACAAUAAUUAGGCCUGUAAUUAAACUAGCCCAAUUAUUUAAUUCCAAAUCUACUCUACUAAAAGAUUGGAACUGACCUCCAUAAUUUUAUGCUCGAAUAAUAAUUCGUCCCAAGCCACAUCGAUUUCUUUACUGCUCGAUCCUUUGUACCACAUCGUUAAUUAAAUCGAUAUCUCAACUGUUCAAUCAAUUUAAUUACAUCUUGUUCCUUGAUACUUACUGGUUUUCUCUAAUGAUCAUUUUCAACAUACUAAAUAUGUUGACACACUCUGGCCAGAGAAUUCUAUGAUCAAGUGCCGAAAAGCCAUCAAGAGAUGCGUCGUACAAAUUCUAUAUUGUUAAUAUAUAACUCUAAUACUCAUAAUUGCUCCCACCAAGAUACCGGGUAAUCUUGACCACAAUUAUGUGUCGUGCCCAUUGGUAACUCAAAUGGAAUAACAAUUACAAUCAUGAAAUCAUAAGUAACUCAAGAUUAAGAUUACAGUAAAAUCAAUGCCUAUGAGAUUUAAUAAGCCUGACAGUCAUUUCAAGGUUAAUUAAAUCUCAUAUGUGAUCCAGCUCAAUGUAGUCAAACUACAUCAGUAAAUUCAUACAUGAUUAAGACAAAUCAUUCAAUGAAUUUGCUACAGUUUAAACAUAAAUAGAGCGCCCAACUCUAUUUAUCAACUGCGAACUAAAUUUAUUUAAUCAUAAGAUAACUUGUAUUUAUGUCUUCUGUGAAUCCAUAUGAUGAUCACAUAAAUACAUAUAAUAUGAUUAAACAGACCUUAUUCAAAAUAUUUAUGCAAUUGAAAAUAUCUCAAAAAUUUUAUUAAUCAGAAAAGAAAUUAAUAUGCUUUAAAAGAGCAUAUAAUCCCAACAAUAAGUACGUGAAAAAGAAAGUUUAUAACAUUGUAAAUUGGUUCACGAACUAGAAGCUAACUCCACCUACAUAGUUUAGUGAACAACUAUAAAAUUGUAUCCAACAAUGGCAUCGCCAAAUUUAAGAGCCAUCCAAUACUUCUAGGCAAUAGGAAAACACCAGUGCCGCUGACAAUGGGCAUCUCGUGGACAAAAGUCCUCAACCUGUUGUUGCCAAGGAGGCUGAUACAAUUGCCAUUAUUAGGACCAUCAACGAACACAAAACUCAUGGACAUAAGGAGGCCUAGUUGAUCCUGACAACUAACCUGUAAAGCCCUUGAGCACGACCAACAAGCAUUGAUUGAGGAUCCAUAGUUUCUGUCAAUGAAUCAUCUGCCAUCAUUACAACGCCGAAACGAGUUGAUGACUUGUAAAUGUCCGUGGCUUGAGCAAUCUUUUUGCCACUGAGUGUUUGUUGUUGUCUUUUUUGCAAAAUCAAGCCCUGUAGCCCAAGUCUCUCUGCUUGAAAUGCUGUUGCUGCCACCUGACUAAUGAUGAGCAAUAAAACAACUGCUGAUAACAUUGCAGUAGCUGUGAAACAAGACCUGAAAUUAAAAGGAAGGCAAUAGAUAAAACACUUUUGAAGUUAAAAAAGAAUGAUGAUUCGAGAUUCAUUUAAAGGGUUUAUGAAGUGUUGUGAUCAAUGAAUAUUCAAAGGUUGCUUAACUACAAAGGGGAAGUGGGAAGAAAUUUUGACAAAUUGUUAUAUUGAGCUGGCAAGCACAUGUAUAUGAGGGGCGCCACUUGUACACAUAAAGAGGGAAGAUUAAUUGCUCCUGGUUUCUUAUUAGGAGAAAAGAGUGACUUGCUUAAAAUAUAAGAUGUGGUUAAUUUCAUUUAAGGACAUGGCUCAUAGAUAGGCAUGGCAAAAAAAAACCCUAGUUUCGCACAUGAGGGUAUGGACAAGGGCUUAGGAAAAAAAGCCCAAGCCAAGCCCAAGCCCUCUAUUUUUUUUUGAAAAACUAAAUUUAGAAAUUAGAAUAAUAAAAUCAAAUUUGAAAAAUAAUGAAAAAAUAGAAAAAAGUAAGCUUAAAUUCCUAAUUUAUAUAUCAAUAAUGAAUAAAAAAACUUAAAAUUCUAAUACUAAACUUUCUUUUAAGUGUUAAUUAGUUAAGAGAGUGCUUGAAUCAAAGAAUUCAUUACUAAAAAAAAAAAUCUCUAAAUUUUAUUUAUUUUAUUUUCUUUAUUAUUCAUUAUUGAUUAUAACAACUUGAUUAUUAUUAACUCAUUUCAAGUUUACAACAAUUUUUAAAAAUUUUAAAAAAAUAAGUAAAAGCCCAAGUGCAGCCCAUGCCCGCAGCGGGCCUAGCCUACACCCACUCCUUGUACUUCUUAUUUAAUGGGCUUGGGUCUAGGCUUAAAAAAGUCCAGUGCAAGCCCUUAAUUUGCCAAACCUACUCAUAAAAACAUCUUUAUAUAUUAAAAAAAAGAAAGAAAUCUAAUAAUAAAUUAAACAAAAGAUAACACUAAAAAUGAUAAAAUUAAUUAAUAUAUGUUGAAAUUAUCUUCAUAAUGCAGCAAGAUAUUAAAAUCAAUAGAUAAUGCAAACAAAUGAAGCGUAAUUUAUUUAAUACUCGUUUAUGGAAUCUUAAUAUCUGCUUUUAGGGUGAGGUUAUUGGAUCCUUUGAAAAAAAAUAAAUCCUCAUUUUAUCGAAAUCUUAUAUUACUAAGCUAUCUGAUUUAAUUUAAGGGUAAACUUCAAUGUUUCCCCUGAGAAUCUUCAACUUACCCUCAUUUACUAUUAAGAACACCAAUAAAAAGUUGAUCAAUGUACCGUCAUUUAUGGUUAUCAUCUAAACAAAAGUUAGAGUAGAUUAAGGCUUCCAUACUUUUGGAGGGUAAAUUGAAGAUUGUUAUUGGGAGGGGAUGAAUUGAAAUUUACCCCAUUAAUAUAACAAAAUUUUAUUUUUGACAUGUAUUCGACUCAUCUACUAAAUGUACAAUAAUCUUUCUAUGAUUAGAUGAAUAUUUUGAUGAUGUUCUAAGAGACCCAUUUGCAAAUUGCAUCCAAAAUGAAAAAAUCAUUUAAAUAAAGAAAUGAGCAAUUUGUUAGCUAGUUACAAUUAUUAAGGAGCACAACGCAAUUCACAGUGUCAUAGUAAUCAGAAUUUUUUAUUUCAUCAUCACAUGAAAAUAGAAAAUAUUGGCUUUUUAAUUUAUUCUAUUUUAUUUUAUUUUAUUUCAAAAAAAUUGUUGGAAAUUACAAAAUAGUCUAAAUAAUUGUUUUUAAAAGCAAAUAUGUAUUUUUUUAUUUAUUUGAUAUAGUUAGCUUGACUUUAAUUUAAUAAAUAUUUUUGUAACUGAAAUUUAGAUACUUAUUUAUUUUUGUUAUUUAGCUAAAUAAUAUAAUUUUUAUAUUUAAUUGAUGACUUAAAAUGUGUUAGUGUAUUAAUUUGUUAAUUUUUAUGUAGCUUGUAAAAUAAGAAUUUUUUUUUUAUAAGAAAACAAUGGAAGUAGCGAUAAGAAUUAAGAUUAAUAAUGUAAUGAUGCAAAUUAUGGACAUCAUGAUGUCGGAUCCGACAAAUUCAAGACUUGGAUGUGGUUAUCAUGAAGAAUAACAUGUAGGAUUGAUUGGUACAAGGAAUCUUAGAAGUGUUGUCCGUUUUCAAGUUUUCUUGUUUUGUCUUUCUUAUGUAAUGCUCUUGAGAUGUUGUGAAUUAAACAAAUACAAGUUCCCGCUUAUGCACUCUUAUCAUAUAGGAAGCAUCAUAAACAAAAGAAACAAAAUUCUCAAAUUGGGUGACCAAAAAUACUUGAAACAAUAAAUCAAGUCUUUGGAACAAGUAAAGGAUUCAAAACUAUUGUGUGGAUUGAAUAGAGAAGUAAGAGCAAAUAGAAAACUCAACAUAAGAGGCACGUAACAAGAUAUGGCUAAAAGAUUGUUACAAGUGAAUAAAAGUUAUAGAUUUUAUUUCAAAAUUAAGUUCAAACUAUAAAUUCAAGAGUUAGUGCUUAAUUUUCUAGACGAAAAUGUCCUUUAUCAAUUUCAUUCGAAAAACACACCAAAAUCGAAGUUAUAUUUUUGCACUCCUCUCUCAAAUAAAUUCUUUCUAACUUAGACUUCAUGUAAUGGAGUUCCAACACUAGUUUUUAGUUCACCGAAGUAGUGAGAUUAUGUUGCCGAGACUAUUUUACUUUGUAAUAUCCUAAGGGAUUGAUGUUAAUAUAACCUAAGUACUACUAAGAAAGUGGCAAAAACCUAAGUACUACUAAGAAAGUGGUGAAUCUGUUUUAAAUUGUAACUGCUCAUCCUCAGUUUAAUUUAUGUUCUUAUCUUUGUUGUUAAUAUAUACUAGGGAAAUUACCUGUGCAAAACUUCUGUUUUAUCAUAUGUACAUCUAAUCACUACAAAAUUUUAACGUGUUCUUUGCACAACCCUUGAUUCUAAACUUGUAUCAAUCAAUUACUUUAACACUAAGAGUUUAAAUAAAAUGCAUGUUUUAAUCCUAAAUGAAUUAAAGGACCAUUUUAUCCAACAAAAUUUUUAAAAAUAAAAAAUUAAUUAAAAUAUACCAACUAUUUAAACUAGGAGUGGGCAAAAAAAAACUGAUUAAUAAAAAACGGAACCGUUCCGAACGGUUCGGUUCGGUUCGGUUUUUGUGCGGUUUUUUUGCAUCUAAAAAACCAAAUGAAUAAUAUAAUAAAAAUAGUAAAACCAAUCGGUUCGGUUUAAAAAAAAAACCAAAAAACCGAACCGGAUAUCAAAUAAAUCGAAUGUCAAAUAACAAUCCCUAAAGUCUAAAGUCUAAAGUCUAAACUCUAAAGUCUAAACCAAACAAGGCUAAACUCAUGACCUUCACCCGCAGCACCUUCAGCCGCUGGAAUCUCGUCCCCGCUGCUCGUCGCCGUCGUUGCAAUCUCAUCGUCGCCACUACUCGUCAGUCGUCACCGCUGGUCGUUGCUGCUGUCACGGUGCUCCCCUGCUGCCAUUAUUUGUCUGAAUACAGUGGGCUCACCGCAAAGAUUUUUAUUUUUUAACACUACGAUCAAAUAUUGAUUUCUCUCUCUUCCUCUUUAGCAUUUCUGGGUUCUUUUGUUUUUGUCAACAAAAUCUCUCAGCAGAACAAAAAAUCGAACGAAAAAGGUUCCAUUUUUCGUUUCGGUUUUAUGAAUUUGGUUUAAAGUUCAUUUCUUUUUCCUCGUUCCCAUGUUUUUGUUAAUGUGCUUGAGUUAUGUAAAUAUCGCUGCCGUUUUUGGCUCUCAUUUCUCUGGUUUGUUCUGUUUUUGCAGAGAAUAAAAACCAAUAACUUGAGCUGCUACUGAUUGUUUCGUGUUUCGUUUCGUAAUUUGUUGAGGUUCGUUCACUUGAGAUGCUGUAUUUAGUUAUACCCGAGACUACUAAUUUGUAUACCAAAAUUGAUUUUUGAUUUUUGAUUCAUUCUUUUGUUUUUUCUUUUCCCCCAUUUGGGUGAGAUAUGGUUUGUUUCUUUGACUAAAAGAUGAUUGAAUGAUUGGUUUUUUCGGUUUUUUCAGUUUCUUUUCCCAAAUCGCAAACUGGAUACUGUUGAGAUUGAUCAUGAUUUUUAUAUCUUUGAGUUGUGUUUGAAAAUGUUCUCUAUAGUGUGCGGUGAAUUGCCGGUGCUGUCUUUACUACUGAUGAAAACUAAAGCAAGUUCAAACACGUCUCAUUCAUAACUUUUUAAGUUUGUAUAUUCAUAACUAAAUGAAUUAAUCAAAAACGCUAGCAAGUAUUAAUUUUCUGCAACAGGUUCAGACAAAAACAUUUUCCAGCUGAUUCUGCUAACUAACUCUAUAUGGAUCCUUAAUUAAACUAUAAUAUUAAUUGAUUUUUUGGUUAAUUUUUAUUUUUUAGAGGCUUCCACCUAUGAUUUGACACAUGUACCAACAAUCACGAAAAUGGGGAUAAUAAUAAAAGCAGUAAAAGAUUAAAAACUUUUAACUAAGAAACAAAUCGUUUGUUUAAAUAAAUUUUUAUCUAUUAUGUACGGGUCUUUAUUCAAUUAGUCUUGUCUCCAAUUUUGUCCCGGCCAUUUUUGUACAAAUAUAAUGUAAUUUUCAUAAUUCGACAGAUGUGAUCAAAAUAAACAAGAGCUUUUUGCUUAUUUAUUUUGAUUUGAACUUGUUAUUUGAACAUGUUAUGUGUUGUUGAACAUACUUUGAGACAUAUUUUGAUUUUUUGUUUGUUAACUUUUUAUGUUCGUGGUAGAUAUAUUAAUUUAAGGUUUUAAAUUUUAAAAAGCCCAAAAUAAGUCCAAUAGGCCCAUAAUCGAAAUAAUCAAACCGAAUCGAAUCGAAUCGAAUUAUUUCGAUUAAUCGAGUAUUUGAUUAUUUCGGUAAUUUGAUUAAUCGCGAUUAUAAUUUUAAAAUAAUCGUAAUCGAACGAUUAUGAAAAAUUUAGUAAAAAACCAAACCGAACUGAACCGCGCCCACCCCUAAUUUAAACUUUACUGUCAAAGUGGUUGAUUGAUAUAUAUCAAAAGUUUAGAAACAAAUUGGUGUAAAGAAUAUAUCAAAAAUUUGUAGUGGUUAGACAUACGUAUGACAAAAUAGAGGUGGUAUAUGGAUAAUUUCCCUACAUACUAUUGUAAUAUAUUAACGUUAUUUCAAUUGUUAUUAUAAUCUUAUGACAAGUGUGUAACUAGCUUACUAGUAAACUUAACUUACUCUAGAAAAAUUCUAUAACAAAAGUACUGUCUAAAAUAUCUGGAUUUUAAGUAGGACCAUUUGUGACCCUUCUAGUUUUUCCUAAGAACUUAAUUGGUAUAUUUUUUUUCAAAUAUUAUGGACUGUUUUAUAUCUUUUACUAGCAAUAAUUUUCUUACGUAUACUUCCAAACUUUACUAUUAUAUAGCUUUAAGUUGAAAGGACUUUGGAAUCAACUCACCUACCAAAAUCUAUGCAAGGCGAUAAUGAUACCGAGAGCAUAUAUAAAUAAAGACAAGUCAGCCGAAAUGAAGCUGUCUUCACUGUAACUGGGUCUUUACUUUUUAGGUACGACAAAGGUGGGCACUGGCCUCGUUGCUUAUACGUACCAAAACGUCAUAUAGAUUUUUAUUUCUUUUCCCUUUUCGAAGCACCAACAGAUUGUUGAUUAAUGCCAAAUGCAUAGUAAUGUGGUCAGACACCUAGACUAUAGAAAAAUAAUGAAGUUUAAAAUGAUAGACCAGAUUGCUGAAGUGUUAACAUUAUAUUGAAAUCCAAUAUUUGGCUACCAACAAGCACACAUUAUAUAAAAAUGAUUAAAUAAGCAUACUAACAUAAAAUGAAAUAAUAAAACCAAACGACAGAGCACAUGUUUUGGAAAAGUUUACUCUCCAAUCCACCACUAAUUAAGCAAAAGCAAGUCACUGUCAUUCCAAGGAAACAUACAUAACCAGUCACCUACUUAGGAAUAAUUUUUCAAUCCGGGAAUCUUGAAGUUUUUUUUAAAUAAAUCAGUUUACAAUUUUAUAAGUAUGUGAAAAAGAAAGUUUUAUAAGAUUGUAAAUUGGUUCACGAACUAGAAGCUGACUGCACCUACAUAGUUUAGUGAAAUCUAUAACAUUGUAUCCAACAAUGGCAUCACCAAAUUUAAGAUCCAUCCAAUGCGCCUGCGCAAUUGCAUAUCCGCCACCAAACCGGAAAAUGCCAAUGUUGCCAUCAAUGGGCAUUUCACGGAUUGGACUCAUCAACUUGUUGUUGCCGAGGAGGCUGAUACAGCAGCCAUUAUUAGGACCAUUGAUGAACACAAAGCUCAUGGACAUGAUGAGGCCAAGUUGAUCCCGACAACAGACUCGUAAAUCCUUUGAGCACAGCAAAUAAGCUUUGGUUGAGGAUCCACGGUUUCUGUCAACGGAUCAUUUGCCUUCAUUACAAUGCCGAAACAAGUUGCUGACUUUUAAUGUGAGUGGCUUGAGCAAUCUUUUUGCCACUACGUGUUUGUUGUUGUCUCUUUUGCAGAAUCAAGCCCUGUAACUCAAGUUUCUCUACCUGUAAUGCCGUUGCUGUUGAGAAAAUAUGCUCUUUAAAAGCAUAUGUGUUUAUUUAAUUGUAAUAAAUAUUUUUUCUGGUUAAUAAAAUUAAUGAGGUAUUUUAUUCAAAUAUCUUAAUUGCAUAAAUAUUUUGAAUAAGGUCUGUUUAAUCAUAUUAUAUGUAUUUAUGUGAUCAUCAUAUGGAUUCACAGAAGACAUAAAUACAAGUUAUCUUAUGAUUAAAUAAAUUUAGUUCGCAGUUGAUAAAUAGAGUUGGGCGCUCUAUUUAUGUUUAAACUGUAGCAAAUUCAUUGAAUGAUUUGUCUUAAUCAUGUAUGAAUUUACUGAUGUAGUUUGACUACAUUGAGCUGGAUCACAUAUGAGAUUUAAUUAACCUUGAAAUGACUGUCAGGCUUAUUAAAUCUCAUAGGCAUUGAUUUUACUGUAAUCUUAAUCUUGAGUUACUUAUGAUUUCAUGAUUGUAAUUGUUAUUCCAUUUGAGUUACCAAUGGGCACGACACAUAAUUGUGGUCAAGAUUACCCGGUAUCUUGGUGGGAGCAAUUAUGAGUAUUAGAGUUAUAUAUUAACAAUAUAGAAUUUGUACGACGCAUCUCUUGAUGGCUUUUCGGCACUUGAUCAUAGAAUUCUCUGGCCAGAGUGUGUCAACAUAUUUAGUAUGUUGAAAAUGAUCAUUAGAGAAAACCAGUAAGUAUCAAGGAACAAGAUGUAAUUAAAUUGAUUGGACAGUUGAGAUAUCGAUUUAAUUAAUGAUGUGGUACAAAGGAUGGUGCAGUAAAGAAAUCAAUGUGGCUUGGGACGAAUUAUUAUUCGAGCAUAUAAUUAUGGAGGUCAAUUCCAAUCUUUUAGUGAAGUAGAUUUGGAAUUAAAUAAUUAGGCUAGUUUAAUUACAGGCCUAAUUGUUAUAGCCACUAUUGUAUGUUCCAAAAUAAUCCCCGGGUUAGCUCAUUUAAUUGACUGCACCACUACUGGACUAAUAAGUAAGAUAACUAGCUAUUUGGGUCAAAAGCCUAAAUAUAUCAUUUAGUGGGAGGCUCCAUUUAAUUAGCUUGUGUGUAAGGGGCCUUAUGUUAUUUUACAAGGUGGGUCCCCUAUAGAAAAACCAAGUAACGUAAGUUUUGUUUUUUGAUUAUUUGGAGCCUAGGGUUUUCACUAAAGGGAGAUAUAAAAGGCUUAUUUUCUCAAAAAGAAAAUAGAGCAGCCACUUUAUGCAGAUCGGAGAAAAAGAUUUUUCUCUCUAUUGUUGAGAGAAAAAUUUUCUCGUGCUAGUUGCUUUGGUAGUGAUAAAGGCGCCCACACGUCAAGUGCAGAUCGAACCUGAGUCAUAACCUGGAAGAUCAUUGGUGACAGUUCGUGAUCUAACAAGCGUGGUGGUGACAGAUCGUGAUCUAACAGGAGUGGUGGUGGCGGAUCGUGAUCUAGGAGCCUAAAUCACUUCAACGGACAAAGCCAAAUCGGAUUUUCAAGGUACGAUUUCUAGAUUACAAAUUCUUAUAUAUUAUAUGAGAGCGAUCUUCAAAAGGUUUUAUAAAAAAUUUAAAAACCUAAUUUUUCCCCAACAGUUGCUGCUGCCAGGCUAGUGACGAGCAAUAAAACAAUUGUUAAUAACAUUGCAGUAGCUCUAUAACAAGACCUGAAAUUGAAAGGAAGCGAAUUGAUAAAGCACUUUUGAAGGUAAAAAGGGAUGACGAUUUGAGACUCAUUUAAAUGGUUUCUGAAGUGUUGUAAUCAAUUAUUAUUCAAAGAAUGCUUAACUACAAAGGUGAAGUGGUAAGAAAUUCGACAUUUUGUUAUAUUGAGCUGCCUAGCAGAUUCAUACGAGGGGCUCCACUUGUACUCAUAAAAAGGGAAGGUUAAUUACUCCUUGUUUCUUAUUAGGAGAAAAGAAUGGCUUGCACAAAAUAUAGAAUGUGGUUAUUUUCAUUGAAUCUUUCUAUCAUAGAGUUCACAUGAUGGAGUUCUAACAUCUGUUUGAAGUUCAUCAGAGUAGUGAGGUUUUUCUACUGAGACUAUUUGAUUUUGUAAUAUCCUAAGUUUAAUUUAUGUUCUUCUCUUUCUUAUUAAUAUAUACUAGAGAAAUUAUCUCUGCACCAACUCUGUUUUACCAUAUAUACAUACAACCACCACAAAAUGUUAACAUUUUCGUUGCACAACCUUCAUUUCUAAACAUGUAUUAAUUGACUAAUUUGACAGUAAGAAUUUAAAUAAAAUGGCCAUUUUACCCGUAAGUGAUCUAAAAGACCAUUUUAUCCCACAAAACUUUUAAAUAAAAAAUUAUAAUUACCAUUUAAUUAAUUGAUAAAAUAUUAUUGAAAAGACCAAUGUGCGAGUACUAUUUAAUUAAUUGAUAAAAUAUUAAUAUUUUUUUAAUUCUUUUGGCCUAAAAAAUGUGUAAUUCUCAUUUCAAAUAAUUUUCAUUGUUUAAAUUAAUCACCAAAAUAAUAAUAGUCCUAACCAAUUUUGAAUAAUAAAAAGAUUAUAAAUUACAAAAUGUAUCGAGUAAAAAUUAUAAUUAUAAAAAUUAACAUCUUAGAUUUUGAGAUUUAUUUUUCUAUUAAAAGUAGAGGUAUUUUUGUAAUUAUAAUUUUUUUUUCAAAAAUAAUGUAGGAUAAAAUAGUCUUUCAAUUUAUUUAAGGAUAAAAUGAUCAUUUUAUUUAAAUUCUUAGUGUCAAAGUAGUUGACUGAUAGAACUUUAGAAACAAAGUUGUGAAAGAACAUGUUAAAAAUUUAUGGUAGUUAGAUUUACGUAUGACAAAACAGAGGGUGGAGUAGAGAUAAUUUCCCCAUGUACUAUUGUAAUAACGUUAUUUAACAAUUUUGUUACUAUAAACUUAUGAAAAGUGUGUAGCUAGUUUACUAGUAAACGUAAGCACUCUAGAAAGAUUCUACAACAAAAGUACUACCUGAAAAAUCUAGAUUUUAAGUAAGGCCAUUUGUGACCCUUUUAGUCUUCUCUAAGAACUCAACUGGCAUAUCUUUUCAUACACUAUGGAUUGUUUUACGUCACUUACUAGUAAUAAUUUUCUAACAUAUACUUCCAAACUUUACCAUUAUAUAGCUUGAAGUUCAUAGGACUUUGGAAUCAAAGCAUUUACAACAAUCUUUGCAGGGUGAUAAUGAUGCAGAGAUCAUCUAUAAAAAAAGACAAGUCAACUGAAAUGAAGGCGACUUCAACUUAAUUAGGGUCUUCACUUUUAAGGCACUACAGGGGUGGCCAUUGCCCUCGUUGCUUUUAUGUACCUUAACUUCAUAUAGAUUUUUACUUUUUUCCAUCCCCUUUUUGGAGCACAAUUAGAUUGUCAAUUAAUGCCAAACGCAUAAGAAUAUGGCCAGAUACCUAGAUUAUGGAAAAACAAUGAAGUUUAAAGUGAUACAUCUGACUAUUGAAGUAUUAACAUUAUAUUGAAGUCCAAUAUUUGGCUACGAACAAGCACAUAUUAUAUUAAAACAAUUAAAUGCGCAAAAUAACAUAAAAUAUAAUAAUAGAACAAAACGACAGAGCACAUGUUUUGGAAAAGUUUAUUCUUCAAUCCACCACCAAUUAAAUAGAAGCAAGCCAUUAUAAUUCUGAGUAAACUUACAUCAAUCACCUACUUAGGAAUAAUUUUUCAAUCCGGGAAUCUUGAAUUUUUCAUAAAAAAUCAGUUUACAAUAUUAUAAGUACGUGAAAAAGAAAGUUUAUCUUGUAUGAGUGCUUUUUGCAUUACCGAUCAAUUGUAGUGAAAUCGAAACUGUGUUUUAAUAAAAGAAUAAAUUAAUCCAUUUUGAGCACAUAAUGUUAUGUCAUAUGUUUUUUUGUGUGUGUAUCUCCUGUUGAUUUGUUGUAUACAUAUCGUUGUAUCAAUUUUUGAGAAAUUAGUUUGUUUAAAAAAAAAUAAUGGUUAGGCGAUCAUAAUAAUUAUGUUUGUAAUGCUUGCAGUAUUUAAAUUUUAAGCCCAUCUACUCUUAGGGGUGGUUAUUGCAUCCUAAGACAUUUUAUCGAAAUCUUAUUUUACUUAGCUAUCUGAUUUAAUUUAUGGUGUGUUUACUUGAUAGAAUGAGAAUGUGGUGGAAUGAGAAUGAUGAAUGAGAAUGAGAUUCCAAUGUUUACUUGGCAAUAAUAAAUGAGAAUGGGAAUGUGCUAGAAUGCCAUUGAUGUGUUUACUUGGCAAAAUAAAUGGGAAUGAGAAUGUGCUGGAAUGCCAUUGAUGUGUUUACUUGGCAAAAUAAAUGGGAAUGAGGAAUGUGAAUGAGAAUGAGAAUCAAUUUACCAAAAUACCCAUAGUAUUAAAUAAUGUAAUUUUCAUUAACUAGAUACAUGUAUAUAUAUUAUUAUAAAAAUGAUAUUAAUUAAAAAAUAUAAUUAAUAAUAAUAAUAAAUGUUAAUAAUGAUAAUAUUAAUAAAAAUAAUUAAUAAUAACUAAAAUAAUAAAGUUAAUAAAAUUUAAUAAUAAUAAUAAUGACAUUUAAUAUAAUAAAAUUAUAGGGAUACAAAAGUUAGUUCAGGGAAUGGGAAUCCUCAUUCCCAACCCCCCAUGGGAAUGAGAUUCCUAUUCCUUAUUCCCAAAUUGUGUGGGACCCAUAUAUUUUAUUCCUAUUCUCAAAUUAUAUUUUGCCAAGUAAACAUGAGUUUAAUUCUCAUUCCUUCAUUCCCAUUCCCUAAACCCUCAAGUAAACACACCAUUAAUGUUAAAGUUUAAUGUACCCCGUGGGAAUCUUCAACUUACCUUCAUUUAUUGCUAAGAAAACAAUUAAAAAGUUUAUCAAUGUGCCCCCCUUUAUGGUUAUCUUUGUUAGCCUAAAGAGGUACACAUAAUGUAAUUUUGAUGAUAACAAAUAUGUGUCUUAAGUGAUUUAAUAAAUACUGUAUUUCACAAGUUCACUAGUUCUUGAAGGAUAAUGUUUAUACAAGUGAAUCAAGUGAAAUCAAGUUCAAGGCACUCAACGGACAACGGCGCAAUAAAAAAUAAAGUUUAGAGCUCAAUAGACUAAUUAUUGUGACAAAUUCUUGUAAAGCCAGUAUGAUUUAAUUGAUGCAUGGUUUAACAUUUGAGAAGCUCAAGAUUUAUUUAAAUCAUUACUUUUCAUAAACCAAAAGGUUUUAUAUUUAUAAGAUAAAGUAUUUUGUGGAUUUGAGUAAUUUGGACUAAACUAAAAUUUUUUUGCUAUCUUUAAUUUUAAUAAGUAUUGUUUUGAAUUCUCGAUUUGGACUUAUUUGCAAACAUUUGAAACAAUUUAGGCUAUUUUAUAAUUUAUGAAAAUUUGAGGACUUGAGUGAAAAUAUUCAAAAAGGGAUAGAGAGUUAGCGGCUAACCGCUUGAGGGCUAGAGGCUAGCCGCCUGAGGAAAAUCUCAUAUUUGCAAAUUUUAGACUAAAUUGAAAGAUUUUGAGAACUUUGAAAUUUAUAAGUAUUAUGUUAAAUUUUAAAGACGACCUCUUUGAAAACUAUUAUUAUAUUUUGGGUCAUAUCAUAAUUUCAAAAAAUUUUAGGAAUAACAAAUAUUAUUUAGAAAUUCUGAAAUGGGACCUGUUUGUAAAGUUAUGUGACGUCUUAGGCUAUAGUAUAAUUAUAGAAAGUUUUGGGCACAAUUGUAAUUUCAUGAAUAAUAUUACUGUAGCAAAAUUCAAAUUUAACGGUAACUUUACUGUUUUGAAGCGGCGAGUCGGAUAAAUUAAGCGGCUAGGCACUUGCUCGCUGGAAUUUACCCAUAACAGCUAGUUUUCGGGUUUUGGCUAUAAAAACUCAACUCCAACUUCAAUUUAAAGUGUCUUGAAAGCAUAAACAAUUGAAAAUAACAUAUUUUGAACUUCUAAAUUCGAAAAUCAUCAUAGAUUAAAUCUUCAUUGAGCUAUCAUUUGUAUAUCCACUCUAAAAGAGAGUUGUUGUUGUAAUUUUCAUUUCACAUCAAAUUGUGAGUAUACAAGUGUGAGAAACACUUUGGGUGAAGAGAUUGGGAGAUAGUCUCUUGAUUGUAAAGGUUUAUUGACACCUUGGAAGUCAAUUGUAAAGAAUUUGAAGUCUUGGGAGGCUAGCAUAGUGAAAUCCUCAAGUCCGGUGUGCUUGGAGGCGUGGACGUAGGCGGGGAUUGUCGAACCACGUAAAAAUCCUUGUGUUUGUUUUUCUCUUCCCUUACUCUUUUAUUAUUGUGCUUUAUUAAAUUUAUUGUUUUUGAUUUCAUUAAGGGAAUAGAUUGAAUUAUUGUGUGUUUUGUUUAGCUUAAGUUUUAAAAACCCAAUUCACCCCCCUCUUGGGUUGCCUAGUUAGGAUUUCAAUCUUCUUGGCAAAAUUAGGGUAGAUUGAGAUUUUCAAGCUUUUGGCGGGUAAAUUGAAGAUUGUUAUUGGGAGGGGAUGAAUUGAAGUUUGCCCAAAUUAAUAUAAAAAAAAUUUCAUAUUAUUUUUGACACGUAUUUGCCUCAUCUAUUGAACAUGCAAUCGUCUUUCUAUGAUUAGAUGAAUAUUAUGAUGACACUCUAAGAGACCCAUGUGCAAAUUGCAUCCAAAAUGAAAAAAUCGUGUAAAUAAAGAAAUGAACAAUUUGUUGGCUAGUUACAAUUAUUAGGCAGCACAAUACAGGUCAUAGUUUCACAGUAAUGGGAAUUUUUACUUCGUCAACAACUGAAAAUAAAAAAUAUUGUUUUUUUAAUUUCUUCUAUUUUAUUUAAAAUAAAGUUGUUGGAAAUUACAAAGUAGUUUAGAUAAUUUUUUUUAAAUGCAAAGACGUAUUCUUUUAUUUUAUUUCAGAUAGUGAGUUUGACUUUAAAUUUAUAUAUGCUUUUGUAAUAUUAUAAUAUUUACAUUUAAUUAAUGACUUAAAAAGUGUUAAUGUAUGAAUACGUUAAUUUUUUGCAGAUUGCAAGAUAAUAAUUUUUUAUAAUAAAAUAAUGGAAGCAAAUAUAUGAAUUAAGAUUGGUAAUGUAAUGAUGCAAAUUUGAACAUAAUGAUGUUGGAUCCUACAAAUUCAAGACCUGGAUGUGGUUGUCACUUAGAAUAACAUGUCGAAUUAAUUGUUACAAGGAAUCUUAACCAAUGUUCUUCGUUUUCAACUUUUCUUGUUUUGUCUUUCUCCUGUAAUGCUCUUGAGAUGUUAUGAAUCAAACAAAUAUAGGUUCCGAAUUAUGCACUCUUAUUAUAUAGGGAGCAUCAUAAAUGGAGGAAGAAAAAUUCUCAAAUUGGGUGUCCAAAAAGACUUGAAACAAUGAAUUAAAUCUUUUGGAGAAGUAGGGGUUUCAACGCAAUUGUGUGGAUUGAAUAGAGAAACUGUAGCAAAUAAAAAACUCAACAUGAAAGGCACGUAACAAAAUACAGCUAAAAGGUUCUUACAAGUAAAUAAAAGUUAUAAAUUUUAUUUUGAAAUUAAAUUCAAAUAAUAAAUUCAAGAGUUAGUGUUUCGUAUUCUAGACGAAAGUGCCCUUCACCAAUUUCAUUUAAAAAACACACCAAAAUCCAAGUAAUUUUUUUCCUUUCCUUUGUUAGUAGAGGUGGGCACGGUUCGGUCUGGUUCGGUUCGGAUCGAAAUUAAGUAGAACUGAUUUAAAUCAGUUAUUUUAUAAAAAGAACCAAAUAAGAACUGAACUCAAUAAAAACCGAACAUAAACGGAUCUUUUCGGAUAGGUUCGGUUUGGUUUUUUCAGUUUUGGGCCUAUUGGGUCUAUUUUGAAUUUAUAAAUUUUUAGCCCAUUAGGCCUCAUGAAUGUAAUAAUUUUUUUCAACAAUUAAUUUAUCCUAAUUUCAUUACAAAUAUUAACAAUAAAUACAAAGUAUUCAAAACACAUUUUAUCACUAAUAUCUCACUAACUAUUAAUAAGGUACUUACAAAAUAUGAAAUAUUAAGAUUUCAAAAUACAUAAUCAAACUUCAAUACUCCAUCUACAUAAAUAUAACGUUGUAAAGAUAAAUAAAAAUAACAACAAUUAAAACUUACAACACAAAAUAAAAAGAAAAUUUGGAAACAAACACCAACAACAAUUUUUAAAUAUAUAUAUACCUGUAAUCGUGUGUGGCAUGCCUAUUUUAGUUAUCUUACGCAACCAAUUAAAAUUUAACACGUGUCUAUUUAAAUAAAAUUCCAAGAAUAAUCCGGUUUUUCGGUUCAGCUGAGUGAACCUAAUACCGAACCUGCAUUUCAGUUUUUUUUACAAACCAUAUAUUUCAGUUUUUUUUAAAUUAAAACCGGUCCGAACAGAACGGUUCGGAUCGGUUCGGUUUGGUUUUCUCUAGUGCACGGUUUUUUUACCCACCCCUAUUUGUUAGUUAAAGUCUUUCUAACCUAGACUUCGCAUGAUGGAGUUCUAACACUAGUUUGAAGUUCACCGGAGUAGUGAUGUUAUGCUGCCGAGACUAUUUGACUUUGUAAUAUCAUAAGGGACAUAUGCUAAUAUAACCUAAGUACUAUUGAGAAAAUGGCAAAUAUGUUUUAAGGACAUUGGAACUGCACAUGCCUUAGUUUAAUUUAUGUUCUUAUCUUUCUUAUUAAUACAUGGUAGAGAAAUUAUCUUUGCACCACCCCUGUUUUGUCAUAUGUACAUCCAACCACAACAAAAAUUUAAUAUGUUCUUUGCACUACCUUUAUUUCGAAACUUGUAUUAAUCAACUACAUUGACACUAAGAAUUUAAAUAAAAUGGCCAUUUUACCCUAAAUGACUUUAAAAGACCAUUUUAUCCCAAAAAUUUUUAAAUAAAAAAUUAUAAUUACCAUUUAAUUAAUUGAUAAAUAUUAUUGAAAAAAUCAAUGUGUGAGUACUAUUUAAUUAAUUGAUAAAAUAUUGUUGAUUUUUUCAAUUCUUUUGACCUAAAAAACGUGUAAUGCUCAUCUAAAAUAUUUUCCUUUUUUUUAUCAAUCCUAAAAUUGUAAUUCUCAAACAAUUUUCAUUUUUUUUAAUUAAUCACCAAAAUAAUAAUAAUCUAAAUCAAUUUUGAAUAAUAAAAAAUUAUAAAGUACAAAACAAAUUGCGUAAAAAUUAUAAUUAUAAAAAUUAACAACAUAGAUUUUGAGAUUUAUAUUUUCUACUAAAAUGAGAGGUAUUCUUGUACCAUUUUAUUUAACUUCUUGGUGUCAAAGUGGCUGAUUGAUAGAAGUUUAGAAAUAAAGUGGUCAAAGAACAUGUCAAAAAUUUGUUGUAUUUAGAUAUACAUGUGGCAAAAUAGAGGUGGUACAUAGUAAUUUCCCUAUGUGCUAUUAAAAUAUAUUAACGUUAUUUCAAAAUUUUGUUACUAUAAACUAAUGACAAGAGUGUAGCAUGCUUACAAGUAAACUUACGCAGUCUAGAAAGAUUCUAUAAAAAAAGUACUGCCUAAUACAUCCAGGUUUUAAGUAAGGUAAUUUGUGACCCUUCUGGUCUUUUCGAAGAACUCAACUAGUAUACUUUUCAUACAUUAUGGAUUGUUUUAUGUCACUUACGAAUAAUAAUUUUGUAGCAUAUACUUCCAAACCUUACCAUUAUAUAGCUUAAAGUCCAUAGGAAUUUGGAAUCCAAAUCACUUACAACAAUUUGUGCAAGGUGAUAGUGAUAUGGAGAGCAUAUAUAAAUAAAGACAAGUCAGCCGAAAUGAAGGUGUCUUCACCUUAACUAGGGUCUUCACUUUCUAGGCACUUCAGGGGUGGCCACUGGCCUCAUUGGUUUUAUGUACCUAAACUUCAUAUGGACAUUACAACUGCACAUGCCUCAAUUUAAUUUAUGUUCUUCUCUUUCUUAUUGAUCUAUACUAGAGAAAUUAUCUCUACACCAACUCUGUUUUAUCAUAUGUAUCUCCAGCCACCACAAAAUUUUAACAUGUUCUUUGCACCACCAUCAUUUCUAAACUUGUAUUAAUCGACUAAUUUGACAGUAAUAAUUUAAAUAAAAUGACCAUUUUACCCCUAAGUGAUCUAAAAGACCAUUUUAUCCCACUAAAUUUUUAAAUAAGAAACUAUGAUUACCAUUUAAUUAAUUGAUAAAAUAUUAUUGAAAAAUUCAAUCUGCGAGUACUAUUUAAUUAAUUGAUAAAAUAUUAUCGACUUUUUCAAUUCUUUUGACCUAAAAAAUGUGUAAUUUUCAUCUCAAAUAUUUCCUUUUUUUAUCGAUCGUAUAGUCACAAUUAUCAAACAAUUUUCAUUGUUUAAAGGGUUAUUAUCAUUUCACUACUUCAAAAAUUGUCAAAUAUCAAAUGACUAUAAUAAGUAUUGUCUCAUAUCAUUUUUCUACUAUAUAUUUAUAAAAAUAUUAUUUUACUACUUUUCCGUUAUAACCAUUAGUUGACUAGUUAGUUGACUAACAAAAAACCAAUUUCACCCUUCAUGAUAAAAAAAAAAAACUUGAAGCUUAUUUACAAAGAAAUUUGUAAUAUAUUUAUUAAAAUGGAUAUAAAAUAUCAACCUAAUUCUUUUUGCUAGAAUUAUGAUGUAUGGAUUACAAAUUUGUCUUAUUAUAUUUUUAAUCAUGAAGGGUAAAAUUGGUAUUUUGUUAGUCAACUAACUGGUCAAUUAACGGGUCAACUAACUGUUGCAACAGAAAAGUAGUAAAAUGAUUUUUUUAUAAAGAUAUAGUAGGAAGAUAAUAGGAGACACUACUUGUUGUAGUCAUUUGAUAUUUGGUAAUUUUUGAAGUAGUGAAAUGAUAAUAACCCUUGUUCAAAUUAAUCACCAAAUUAACAAUAGUGUGAAACAAUUUUGAAUAAUAAAAAAUUAUAAAUUACAAAAUAUAUCGAGUAAAAAUUAUAAUUAUAAAAUUAACAUCUUAGAUUUUGAGUUUUUUCUAUUAAAAUCAGAGGUAUUCUUGUAAUUAUAAUUUUUUAUUUUAAAAAAUUUGGUAGGAUAAAAUAGUCUUUCAUUUUAUUUAAGGAUAAAAUGGUCAUUUUAUUUAAAUUCUUAGUGUCAAAGUAGUUGAUUGAAAGAAUUUUAGAAACAAAUUAGUGAAAGAACAAGUUAAAAAUUUGUUGUAGUUUGAUAUAUGUAUGACAAAACAGUGGUGGUGCAUAUAUAAUUUCGCUUCGUACGAUUGUAAUAUAUUAACGUUAUUAAAAGUUUGUUACAAUAAACUCAUGACAAGUAUGUAGCUAGCUUACUAGUAAACUUAUGCAUUGCUAUAAAGAUUCUAAAGCAAAAGUAAUGCCUGAAAAAUCUAGAUUUUAAGUUUGGCCAUUUGUGACCCUUUUAGUCUUUUCUAAGAACUCAACUGGUAUAUUUUUUCAUACACUAUGGAUUGUUUUAUGUCCCUUAUUAGUAAUAAUUUUUAACAUAUAUUUCCAAACUUUACCAUUAGAUAGCUUGAAGUUCAUUGGACUUUGGAAUCAUAUCAUUUACAACAAUCUUUACAAGGUGAUAAUGAUACAGAGAGCAUAUAUAAAUUUAAGUCAGCCGAUAUGAAGGCUCCUUCAACUUAACUGGGGUCUUCACUUUUAAGGCACUACAGGGGUGGCUAUUGCCCUCAUUGCUUAUGUACCUUAACUUCAUAUAGAUUUUUACUUUUUUCCAUCCCCUUUUUGGAGCACAAGUAGAUUUUUGAUUAAUGCCAAACACAUAAGAAUAUGGUCAGAUGCCUAGAUUAUGGAAAAAUAAUGACGUUUAAAUGGACACAUCAGACUACUGAUGUAUUAACAAUAUAUUGAAAUCCAAUAUUUAGCUACCAACAAGCACAUAUUAUAUAAAAACAAUUAAACAUGCAAACAAACAUAAAAUGAAAUAAUUAAAUAAAACGACAGAGCACAUGUUUUGGAAAAGUUUAUUCCUCAAUCCACCACAAAUUAAAAAGAAGUAAGUCACUGUUAUUCUAAGUAAACAUACAUAACCAAUCACUGACUUAAGAAUAAUUUUUCAAUUCGGGAAUCUUGAAUUUUUCAUAAAAUAAUCAGUUUACAAUAUUAUAAGUAUGUGAGAAGAAAAGUUUAUCUUGUAUGAGUGCUUUUUGAAUUACUGAUCAAUUGUAGUGAAAUCAAAACUAUGUUUUAAUAAAAAAAAGAAAUUAAUCCAUUUUGAGCACAUAAUGUAAUGUCAUAUGUUUUUUGUGUGUGUAUCUCCUACUGAUUCGUUGUAUACAUAUCGUUGAAUCAAUAUUCGAGAAAGCUGUUUGUUUAAAUAAUAAUAAUGGUCAGGCGAUCACAAUAAGUAUAUUAGUAAUGUUUGUACUAUUUAAAUUUUAAGUCUAUCCACUCUUAGGGUUGGUUGUUGCAACCUAAGGAAAAAAAAUAAAAUAAACCUUAAUUUUAUCGAUAUCUUAUAUUACUUAACUGUAUGAUUUAAUUUCAUGUUAAACUUUAAUCUGCCCUCUGGGAAUCUUCAACUUACCUUCAUUUUGGCUACCAACAAGCACAUAUUAUAUAAAAAUGAUAAAACGUGCAAACUAACAUAAAAUGAAAUACUAAAACUAAACGAUAGAGCACAUGUUUUGAAAAAGUUUCUUCUUCAAUACACCACCAAUUAAACAGAAGUAAGCCACUGUCAUUUUAAGUUAAAAAACAUAACAAAACCAUCUAUUAAAAAACAUAACAAAACCACCUACUUAGGAAUUAUUUUUCAAUUUGGAAAUCUUGAACUUUUCAUUAAAAAGAAAUUAGUUUACAAUAUUAUAAGUACGUGAAAAAGAAAGUUUAUAGCAUUGUAAAUUAGAUCACGAACAAGAAUCUGACUCCACCUACAUGGUUUAGUGAACAAUUAUAACAUUGUAUCCAACAAUGGCAUCACCAUAUUUAAAAUUCGCCCGAUGCAUCUGAGCAGUUGCAUAUCCACUAGUCAACAGGAACAUGCCAGUGUCGCCGACAAUAGGCAUCUUACGGAUAGGAACAAUCGACUUGUUGUUGCCAAGGAGGCUGAUACAGUUGCCAUUAUUAGGACCAUCAACGAACACAAAGCUCAUGGACAUGAUGAUACUUAGUUAAUGCUGACAAGCCGACCCAUAAAGCCCUUGAGUACGACCAACAAGCUUUGAUUGAGGGUUUGUAGUUUCUAUCAACGAAUCAUCCGCCAUCAUCACAAUGCCGAAAUGAGUUGGUGACUUGUAAGUAUCAGUGGCUUGAGCAAUCCUUUUUGCCCCUACGUUUUUUUUGUUGUCACUUUUGCGGAAUCAAGCCUGUAGCCCAAGUCUCUCUGACUGUAUUGCUGCUUUCGCCACCAUGCUAAUGAUGAGCAGCAAAACAACUGCUUAAACAUUGUAGUAGCUUUAAAACAAGGCGUGAAAUUAAAAGGAACGUAAUAGAUGAUGCACUUUUGAAGGUAGAAAAGGUUCGUUUCAAGUGUUUUCGAAGUGUUGUGAUUAAUAAAUUUCGAAAGACUGCUUAACUACAAAGGGGAGGUGGGAAGAAAUUUUGGCAUUUUGUUAUAUUGAGCUAGCCAACAAAUGUGUAUGAGGGGCUUCACUUGUACACAUAAAGAGCGAAGAUUAAUUAAUGUUUGGUCCAUCUCAUUUGGGGCCCCAAAAGCCCAAAGUUUAAUAAGUUUGGGCAAUUAAGUAAUUAAAAAAAAGUGGAAGUGGAGGCGGCAGUAACUUUUUGGUGGAAGAAAAAGGCGAGAGAGAAAGGAAGAGACAGUAGAGUUGAGACUAUUCGGGACAAGAUUUUUAAUCUUUAAUUGGGCGAAAUUAACUUUGUUUUCUCCCAACUUUUGAUGGUAAGUUCCUAGCAUCGCCCUCUACAAUCCUACAGAUCUUGAUUUUUGGUUAUUAUUUGAGAUACCCACUUAUUAGAGAGAUAGUUAUUAGGCUAUUAUUGUAAGCCAAGAGUAUUGAGAUUCUUGAUGUUAGUAGCCUCUAGCAUUAUUUAUAGAAGAAUGUGCUGUAAUUUGUGGAAGAUUCUAUCACACUACAGUCCCGUGGCUUUUCCCGUUUUGGGUUUUUCACUAAAAAUCUGUCUCUUGUGGUUGGUUUUUGCUUUGGAUUUAUUGGUUUUUUUUCCUACUUAUUUAUGGUACACGUCUUAUUUUACUCACACAAAGAGGGAAAUAAUUUGUUUUCGCUUAAUUUAUAACUAGUUGUGGUAGUCGCUUUCCCAAUAGAGUGGUAUCAGAGCGUUAGGUUUUGUUUUUUU